AAAAAAAAAAAUCUUUUUUUUUCUUCUUUUUCUUCUUCUUUUCUUUUCUGCUCUUCUCUCGUUCUCUCUGUUUUUUUUGUUUUUGGGAUGCCUUUCAUCUUCACCUCAGCUCUCCUUUUAUAAACAUGAAAAAUGUGUUUGGUGAGCUCACAAUCUUUGACAAAACCAACGUCAACAAUUUCAGCUCACAGUCCAUGCAUGCCGACCAACACGUAAAACGUGUUUUAACAAAAUCUCCCCUCGUGGUUGUGAUUUCAUGUCAUUGAAAUGCCAUUAUGGUUGCACAACUCAAGAAAGAAAGAAAGAAAGAAAGAAAGAGUGGAUUAAAAUCAAGAUAAUAGGGUGAUUUGGGGUCGAGUGCGGAAGGUAGGCUCCGGCCAACAACUAGAUUAAGACCAGCGCCUUGAAUAAUUAAAAGUCAAUAACUAUUACAUAUAUAAUUAAAUUGGUGCGAACGUAUAAAUCAAUUUUAUUAAUCCAAACAAUUUUUAAAAAAAUUUGAUAGGAUAUGUAAUUAAAUUUAAAUGAUAUUAACAUAGAUAGUAUAUUUUUAAUAUUAAUGUCUAUUAAAUGAUGCUUUCUACUCAUAAUUUUUUUAUCAUGCGUAUCUUUAAUAGCAAAAACUUUAAAUUACUGAUAACAAAAUUUUCAUUGUGGAAUUAAUAAUUUUAGUAAUUUAUAAUUUAAAAGAAUUUAUCAAUGUUAGUUCAAAACUUUUAUCAAAAAUAUUAUACAAAGUAAAUUUUGAAAUUAAAAUAUUAAUUUAUUCAAUAUGGUUUAUAGUUUAAUUUAGAAUGAUAUAUAUACAAUAUAUUUUAAAUCUAAAUGAUUAAUUAAAUUAGACUUUUAUUUAUAUGAUUUUGUAAUCAUUUGUAUUUUUGUCAUAACAAAAAUUUUAAACCAUGAAUCGCAAAAUUUGAAUGUGAGACUUUUAACAGUUUUAGUAAUUAUAGUCAUUUUUUAAAAUUUAAAAUAUAACAUAAACAGAAAAUGCUAAAUUUUUAUAAUAUUUUUAUUGUGAUUUUUUUUAAUUAUUUUAAUAGUUUAAAAUUAAACAAAUUUGAUACAAGAUAUAUUAUUUUUUUUAUCAGAUCUUUAUUAUUCAAAAUUAUUAAUUGUCAUAUAUAUUUUAGCCACAUUAGACAAUUCCGUAAUCUUUAUUUAAGGAAAUAAUAAAUGAUAUUAAUAAUGAAUUUAUGGUUAGUUUAAUAAAAAGCUUAUUAUAUAAUUAGAUGGACUAACAUAUUUCUCUAAUAAUUCUAAGAAUCAUCCUAUUGAUGACACGUGGAUACAAAAAAAAGUUGUAAUGUUUCACAAAUAAUAUAUAGGAGAUUUUUUUUAAUGAAUGACAGAAAGGUUUGCAAUUCAUUAAACAACUAGAGCGCGCCCGUGCGGGUUUUGGUUUUUGGGCGCGAAGAUUUGGUUUUUACUUUUCUAUAAAUUGCGUAAUGACAUUUUUAAAUACAUGCAUAGAUUACUUGUCUAAAUUUAGUUAUUUACAAACUUACCCAUACAUAGAAGAAUCCUAUUCGAACUCCAUCCAAAAAUUUAUUAUACUCGAACAUAGUUUAGUUUUAAAAUUCAAAAAAAAAAUUAAUACCCGUAAAAUCGAUAUGUACUCGAACUUGUACAUGAAUGCCUAUAUCUAGCUAACUCUGUAAACAAGUAUAUUUUUUUGAUAACCGGUUUGAAUUCCCUUCGCGAAUAGAAUAAUUUUAUUGAAACAUGUGAAAUUAUUAUGGUUAACACGUAAAAUAAAUGAUGUCGAAUUAUUAUGGUUAAUGUAAUUAAUGAAGUAGUUUGAAAAAGUAGAAAAACAAUGUAAAAAUAUAAUAAAAAAUUAAAAAUAUGUAAGUUUUGUUUUGUGUGUUUCAAAAAAAAUGUAAGUUUUGUUUUGUAUUUCUGAAACAAAUGAAGAUGAAUUAAUUAGAAAAGACAAUAAAUGAAGUAAUUAGAUAAAAAUGAAUGAAAAUCUGUAAGAAUUUAUUAAAAUAGGUAAGUAUUAUUUUGUAACUCUAUUAAAAUAGAUUAGGCUUAAAGGGGCCUUGCAAUUCCUCUUCUAAGCCCAAACAUUUAAGUUAAGUUAAACAGUAGAGACUUUUCUUUUUGACGAAAAGUCAAAUUUCACUUCAUCAUUUUGGUCUCUUUCGUUUUCCGGCCCCUCCACUGGUAUAUGUCACAGUCACACAGUACUUCACUUCAUCAUCUUGGUCUCCCUCGUCUUUAACGUCCGGCCCUCCAAUUAUUGUCUCGGCCUUCUCCUUUUAAAGAUCAGAUCAUGCACGACUCAUAUGGAAUAUAUAAAGAUAAGGUGUAACUCCGAGUCUCCGAUUCACUAGAAUAUAACUAAUAAAGGACUAUGAUACCAUGUUAAAAAUGUUAUGGAUGGACACUAUUGAUAUAAUUACCAUAAUGUAAAAGCUAUCUAGUCCAACUAUAAUCACAUGAAAAUACAUAAAGACAUCAUGGAGAUCUAGGAUCGGAGCAUCUCCUUCGUUAUAAUCUCAAUUUGUAAUUGGUAUAAGAUAGUAACUAGAGUUAUUUAACUUUGAAUUAAUUACGAACUGCCAUUCUAUUACUAGUCUGAAUUAAUUAGUCAUAGUACCUAAAUGUGAUAUUCCAUAGCGGGGAAAAAGCCAUCUGCUAGCAAAGUAACACUAGAACUUUCAACAGAAAACAACUUAUUAUAUAUAUAGUCUAAGAGUAAUCCCACUGCUAUUUUUUUUUUUUUUUUGCAAAGUAUGUAGAAGUUAUUAAAACUAGGAAAAAAAUAGGAAGAGGGAUAUGAAUUUUUAUUUGAGAAACCCAACAAAAAGAUUAGAAAUACUUUUACAAUAUGUGUCGGCCUGUGAUUCAUUUAAUUUCUUUUUUAAUAAUUUAAAAUUAACUAACGAUAGAAUUGAAACUAUUAGUAUUUUUGCCCGUGAGAUAUUUUGGUGGGUCUUUACCAAUGGACAUGAUAUAAUAGAGAGAACGUGUUAUGAUCAGGAGCCAUACAUACGAAUAUUCCUGGUAAUCACAAACGUCGUGGUCUUUGUGUCCUACAAAACUAAAUGACAGAAACAAAGACUUCGGGAUGCUAAAUGAGUUGGUACAUUGACUUGUCUAUAGUUAAAUAAUAUUCCUUCCGAUCUUUUAAUAUAAGUCGUUUUAGAACUGUGCACAUAGAAUAAGAAAUCAUUAAUUUUUUAUAUUUUAUAAACAAAAACAUCAUUAAUUAUUUACUUAACCACAAAUCAACCAAUAAUAAAAUAGAAAGUAUAUUAUCAUUAGUCAUAUAACAUUAAGUGUUAAUAAAUUUUACAUAGAAAACCGAAAACAUCAUAUAAUUUGAAAAAUAAAAAAAUUUCUAAAGAGACUUAUGUUAAAGGGAGUAGUAUUAGAGUUGGGUCAAGGAAAAUAAGUCAAGAGAACAUCUCAAGACGGGAGGCUAGAGGAAACUCAUAGAGAAACAAAUUAGAGUGAAAGAGAGAGAGAGUGGGAAGAUGAAGGUGCAUGGUGUGUUCUUGAUGGCUGUUUUUUACUACCAUGCAUAUACGGAGCUGGUCAAUGGGCAGCCUCGCAAGGACUGUCAAACUAGUUGUGGCAAGGUCACAAUCGAGUACCCUUUUGGCACUUCUCCAGAUUGUUACUAUGCCGACGAUCCUAGUUUCAAUAUCACCUGUAACGAGAGAGAAGAGUUGAUCUUUGGUGGUAACAAAGUAAUCAACAUUUCUCACACGGAGCUACGCGUCUGGAAUGAUAUUUCUUACGCUUGCUACGAUAGCGGAGGAAAUGUGACUGAUGGGGUUUCCUACAGUUACUCGCUUGCUAACUUAUCUCUCUCCCGCAACAACAAGUUUACUUUAGUUGGCUAUAACGCUUUUGCACUUCUGAGCACUACUGGAGCGCGAGAUUACUCAACUGGAUGCUUGUCAGCAUGUGACUCUCCACCGGCGGGAAAUGGGGACUGUAAUGGUGAAGGUUGCUGCAGGACCGAUGUCUAUGUCCCUUUGGAUAGCAUUGGAUUCGAAACUCGCCCAUCUGGCUUUGGGAACAUGACUGUUAUGCAUGACUUUAAUCCUUGCAAAUACGCCUUUCUAGCCGAAAAUGGUACUUUUCACUUUAAUGCUUCGGAAGAUCUUAAGAACCUAAGAAAUGUCAAAGAGUUCCCUGUGUUACUGGAUUGGUCUAUUGGAAACCAGAGAUGCGAUCAAGUUGGAAACAGAAGCAUAUGCGGUAUGAAUAACAGCAUAUGUGUCAAUUCUACUCGUGGAACCGGGUAUAACUGCAAAUGUUUAGAAGGUUUUGAGGGGAAUCCUUACCUUUCAAAUGAAAAGGGUUGCCAAGGUACACUUCACGUUAAUUUAUUUUUUCUUUCUAUCGUCUUUCAACGGUUUAGUCGUACAUUUCUUGUUUCAUCCAACGGAUUAUUUACCUGUGUCAGACAUCAAUGAAUGUAUUAGUACUAUCCAUAAACAUAACUGCUCGGAUCCCAGCACCUGUAGAAACAAGGAUGGAGGGUUCUAUUGUAAGUGCCGAUCUGGUUACCGCUUAGAUACAACCACUAUGAGUUGCAAGCGUAAAGACUUUGGAUGGGCUACUAUUCUUCUUGGUAAGCUUCCCUCAUUUCUUUUCUGGACUUGUAGUUUCCAAGAUGUUAUCAUCUCUAUGUGUAUAUGAUCUCCUAAUGUUUAUAACCAGGCCUGGGCAAAAAAAAUUAAACCGAAAACCUUAACAAAAUUUACUGAAAUAACCGAAGCCAAAACCGGAUCAAAAUUUUUAAAUACCCAAACGAUUCUUAUAUUUCUAUAUCUGAAAUAACCAAACCGAACUAGCAAGAACCAAGCAAGACUCGAAUAUAUAAAUAUAUUAAUUAUAUAUACAUAUAACAUGACUAAAUAUAUGUAUAGUUUCAAAAUCUAUUAAAAGUGUAUGAAAGUAUUUGAAAAGCUUAAUUAUCAAAAAGCAUUGUAUCUAAACUUGUAUCUGAAAUUAUCUGAAAGUAUCAUAUAUUUUUAUCCAAAAUAAUCUGAAUUAUCUGAAGAUUUUUAUUCAAACAUCUAAUUAGACCAUACAUAUCCAAUAUAUUACUUGAACUAUCCAAAUUAACUGAAACUACCGAAUCGGAAUUGGAACCAAACAUGAACCCAAUUUUUACGUAUUAGAGUGCUCCUAAUUUAUUAUCCGAACCAAAAAUUUUCCGUUCCUAUAGGAACUACCCCAUAUACUUGACCCUAACUGGUAUCUGAAAUGCCCAAGCCGUUCCUAUUUAUAACUUUGGGGUCGUCCUGAACUUAAAAAGCCAUGUCUAUAGCUCCCCUCGCUAUUUCCUGAUUCUUUCUUUUACUGUGUGAUGUGAUCAGGAACAACCAUUGGGUUCUUGUCCAUCCUGCUUCUCAUUAGCUGCGUACAACAGAAAAUGAAGCACCGGAAGACAGCUGAGCUCCGACAAAAAUUCUUUGAACAAAAUGGUGGCGGCAUGUUAAUACAGAGACUCUCAGGACCAGGGACAUCUAAUGCUAAUGUAAAAAUCUUUACCGAAGAAGGCAUGAAGACAUCAACCAAUGGUUAUGACAAGAGCAGAAUCCUGGGCCAGGGAGGCCAAGGAACAGUCUACAAAGGGAUAUUACCUGACAACUCCAUAGUCGCAAUAAAGAAAGCUCGGCUUGGAGACAACAGCCAAGUAGAGCAGUUCAUCAACGAAGUGCUAGUGCUUUCCCAAAUCAACCACAGGAACGUGGUCAAGCUCCUAGGAUGUUGUCUGGAGACAGAAGUUCCCUUGCUGGUCUAUGAGUUCAUUAACAGCGGCACCCUUUUCGAUCACUUGCAUGGUUCCUUGUUUGGUCNNNNNNNNNNNNNNNNNNNNNNNNNNNNNNNNNNNNNNNNNNNNNNNNNNNNNNNNNNNNNNNNNNNNNNNNNNNNNNNNNNNNNNNNNNNNNNNNNNNNAUUAAGACAAAGAGCCUAAACUAUGAGUUUUCUGUUUUACACAGUAUAUGUAUCAUUUUUAACUCUUCAAAUUAUUUUUUUGGCCUAAGUUCUUUAACUCUUUAAAUUCAUAAUAACAUCUUAAUUACGAUGUUACAUCUUUCUUACAAUAAUUUACAAACUUUCUGUUUUGUGUAGUAUUGCUUUAAUAUAUUGAUGCUUGAUCUUACAUCUAAAUAUCAUAUUGAUGUAUUUGUUCGUGGAGAACAUAUUUGUAAACUAUGAAAUUUUAAAUCGUAUGUAUGCUCUCUUUGGGGAAUAGCCAGGUUUCGGUUAUGUGUAAAAUAGAUUUCUACAAUAGAACUUAAGGUUUUUAGUGUUAUAUGGACAUUGUUAUAGCUUGAAAAAAAAGAGAUUUAAAAAAAAAGAAAAACAAGUGAGGAGAUAUAAAGAUACAAUAAUCUUAUUUGGUUUCGUACACCAUUUGGUUUUAAGUAUAAGAGUUUGUUGUACACGGUUGCCGAAAAAAAGCUAUAGAUCCUAACUUUUAUGACAUGAAGAUUGUUUUAUGGUGGACAGUACAACAGUCAUCCAACCAUCAUCGUAAGCAGAAUUAUUUCAAAUAUAUAUUCUAAGAUUACAUAUAGAUUCUGAAACAUCAUACGUAAGAACUUGAUUUUUAGUAAGAAAAUAGAAAUUCAGUAAUUGGAAUUGGAAAAAACCAGUUUUAGUCAGUUGUGUAAUUUGUGACCAAAAAAAAAAAGUCAGUUGUGUAAUUGCGUUUAACAAUUUAUUUUUAUGAGAACACAAACAUGUAAGAUAAAAGAGUAUUAGGAUCAUAACUAUAGCUUAGUUAACUCUUUAUUAAACUCACAGUCUUUCUCAACAUCCUAUAUAUAUUAUUGGAUAUUAAAAAGAUAGAAAGUCUUGAGCUUUAGUUAUUGCAAAUUUGAUAUAUAAUUUAAAUUUUAUAUAACAUAGUCAUAACCCGGGCGUAGCCCGGGAAACUCUCUAGUUUAAUUUUAAAAAACAAAUGAAAAUUGUUACAAAAUUGAAAUAUUGAUAUAUUUCUUAAUUAUUGAGAAAUUUAAAUAGUAUCUGCCGAUAUUGAUGCUCUAAUGCUGACGUAAUAUUCCAACACAGAAAUAUGAUGGAUAUUCCAUCACAAAUUUUACGAUUGAGUUAAGACGACACCUCUUCAUUUGGUGAGUUCAGCUGCGAUCGCACUUGGUCGUCCAUGUACAGCAGAAAAAUCAACAUGGCGUAUAUCCAUUUUCAAACGUCAUCACUAAUCCAUUUCAAAUAACGAAGAUUUUGCAACAGAUUUGAAAAUUGCGAUUUUAUGCGAUACAAUUGAAUUAUUCUGUAACAACAUUUAUUUUGCCGCAUCAUAUUGUCAUUUUGUAUCAUAAUAUAUUUUGUUUUUCAUAUAUGAUCAGUAUUCUUAUAGUAAAAAUUUGACGAGGUGUUGGAAGAAAUUCGCGGUUCUUUUAUAUAUAUUUUUGGUAACUCUUUUGUGUUUUUCUUUUAAACCGCCGUAAAAACGAUAAGAACAACUUUUCCAAACCUGUUGCGUUUCAAAUCAACCUUUUUUUUUGUAACAUGCGUUUCAAAUCAACCAAUUAAAUAAAUCAAGUGUCAUUUACACCAAAUACUCCUCCACUAAGUUAACCAACUUAAGAACGGAUGAACACACGAACAACACAAAUAAAAGCAUAAUUUAUCUAUAAGAAAGAAAACCAUAUUAUAGUAUUCUAUUGGAAGUCUUUCAUGAACUUAAACAGAGGAUUUAAACCGGAUCGUUCCGGUUAGGUGACAGAUAAUUAAAGACGUUGAGUUGGAGAACCAAACAAGGCCAUCGAGCUCGGCGUAUACAAUGGAAUAUCAGCUAGGGUUUUCCUUUGUUGAUGUCUCUCCCAACUUGUGUCAUCAGUACCGACACUGACCUCUUCCGUGGUUAACACAGACAACGAUGAUUCGUUGACGUCGUUAGGGUUCCGCCUUCUAAUCUCUUCGAGACCCGUGAGCCGCUGAACCAAGGCCAUAAAGUUUUCAGCACGCGUGUGGAUCACCUUUGGAGAGUGCGCGUAGAUGACUACGGGAGCUGCACGUCCAUGUCGCCGUGACUGUUUGACGACGUUGAACGAAGUCGUUUUCUUGAUGGAAUGGGAUUCUCCUGUGAGUUUAAGCGACGGAGGACGAGAGCCGCUGAGCUCAUGGCAUCUUGUAGGAAUCAUGAUGAGUACUUGAAUAGUAUCAAGAGAAUGGGUUAAACAGAGAUGGAGUAAAGAUCAGGGAAGACCUUUGAAGAUAAAGGGAGAUAUUGAUUUGUGUAUCCGGACAAGACAUUCAUUAAGCUGAUUAUAUAUAAGUUAUAACUAUAUAUGCGUGUAAGUAUAAUUAAUUUAAAAUCAUAUUAUAUUAGAGCCAACGAUUCUGACCGUUGACUUUAAUACCAUUGCGCCAGUGUUUUUAAAACCGGACCGGAAGCUGAACCGAAUUUUUUUUGGGUCAUAGUUGAAUAUGGUUCGACCGGGUCAAACCUAGUUUAAUACUUUGGUUUAAUAUUUUUUUAGUAUAUAAAUUUUAAAGUAAUGUUAUUAAAUAUGAUACAUAACUAAAAUAUAAAUAAGUUUUAAACAUAAGACAUUAUAAAUAUAACUUAGUUUUAUGUUUAAUGGAUGAUUUAUAGAUUUUUAAUAGUUUUAGUGGCUUUUAUUGGUUUAAUAAUUUUGAAAUUCAAUCCAUCUACAUGGUCGGUUCAUGGUCGAACCAAUUACUAGACCCAACCCGGCUAUAUAACCGGUUCAUGGUCGAACCCGGUCCAACCAUCGGGUCGGUCCGGUUUAAAAAACACUGCAUUGCGGUUAAGGUUAGGUAUAUUAUCUGUUAAAUUUGAUUCGAUCUGUUUAUUCAUUUCGAGUCUAUUUAGAAAAUCUGGAUAUCUAUAAAAAAUUUGAAUCAAAGUAAAUAGCAAAAUGUAAUGUAAGAAAAAACCUAAUCAAAAAUAUUAUUUUUUAGAAAGCUAGAUAUCCAAUACGAUCCGUAUAUUUAUAAAUAUGUAACGUAAACCAUUAUGUUUAUACAUAUUUGACGAAGUAAUUUUUUAUUUUAAACUAUUAAAAAAAAAUAUUUUGGAUUAUUGUGUAUCCAAUUAAUUUUUAUGUUGAAUCAAAUGUCAACAUAUGAGUUUUUUGUUAGGCUUGUCAAUACUGAAUUUUUUUUUGCUUUACAGUUUCGGUUAAAGAUGUUAAUUUGUUAGUAUGGUAUUAUUAUUUUAUUUUAUGAUUAAUAAUAUAAAAGAUUGUUUAUUAAAUUUUCCGAAUUGAAACGAAUCACAAAUAUAAAUAUUUGUUCGAGAACAGAUCAAAAGUAUUCUAAAAUUUUCGGAUAUUCGGGCCUAAUUAUAGUUUUGAAGUAGAACGGUCGUUCUCGUUGAAUAGCAACAUGACAUGGCUCAGGUAUAUAUCAUUGCUUAUUAACAGUUUAAUUUUCUAAGAAAUCAUAAGUAUUUCUCUACUAAAUCUCUUCUUCUUUAAAAUUUUAGUUGCAAACUCCUUCUGUAAUCUGUAUCUACCUUUUAAACGUUUGUUUUAAAAUUUUAUGGUUGUAAUGAUCAUUUGGUAGAUCGUAUCCAAAACGAAUUUGUAAUAUAAUUAAUUCGAUAGAGAGUUCUUUAUUUUUGUUCAUCUUUGAACUUUGAAUAUUACUGCUGUGACCAUGCAAAGUUGGCUGCAGAUGGUCCAUUUACGCAAUAAGAAAUUUUACAAAUGUUCAAAACUAUCGGCUUCUUUUAAUUAAACCCACUUACAGUCUGCUGUAACCACUAAUCUAUUUGUUGUUUGUGUGUUUAUAAUGAUUAUCAACGACAUUGUAUUGUUAUGUAUAUUAUAUGCAUAAACUAUAUUAUUUGCGAAGAAUAAACAAAGCAACAUAGAAUUUUACAUACAAAUACAUAUACAAAAUAGUCCACACACUAAUUAUAUAUGUAGUAAAUGAUAUUUAUAUAAUGUGUACAUGCGCCACAACAUUAGAAAACUUGUAAACUCUAAUUGUUUAUCAAAAAGUCAAAAGCCUUUUAAUACAAAAAAAAUCGAAUAGAAAACCAAAAUAGUUGUUUCGAAAUACAAAGCUGAAACAUAGCACAACUUCUAUAGUUAAUUCAGACAAGGAGAGGCUCAGAAGGCGUCUAUCUUCCUAACAAGGUAAACCCCAAACGUAUUUCCAGUUUAUAAUAAAUCAUUUUGUCUUUUUUUUUGUGUGGAAUAUAUCAAUAUUUCAGGUUUAAUAUCUCACAGAAUUAGAUCCAAACGGUGCUAAUAAACGCUUUUACACACCCACGCAAAAUAUGAAUUUAAGAACAGAAAAUGAAAUAGGCACAUUGAUUUAAUAGUUAUGAUUCAUCAACUGUUCAUCUCGUCAAAGAUUUGUCAUUUGUUCCUUCGUAGCAACCGUUAAUUGUUGUCACUGUUCUGUUUUUUUUUCUUUAGCUUUAGGUUGUUUCAUCUGUUGAAAUAGCUUAAACCUAAUCUAGGAAUCUAAGAGCAUUUUUACUCUCUUUUUUUUUUUUUGCAGUUUUUAGCUUCAAAUUUGUAUUUAUGCAGAUUGGAUACAAUUCUUUUUAAAUACUUUCAUUAACUAUUAAUGAUAUUUCCAUCUUUAGCAAAUAAAAAACUGUCAUUUUAUUUAUCUUUAUUAUGCAUGUCACAAAAUUAGUUUUGAAUAAUUAUGCUUUUUCAAAUAUAUUUUUCGUUGUAAAUUUAUAAAUACGUCACGGAUGUAAGUAUUAAAAAUAUGAUUUUAAAAGGUAAUUCUUUGCCGUCUUUGUUAUAUUCCAACAUAUACUCUAUUUGAAAAAUUCACAAUGUAAUAAUUUCAACUGCUGUACACAAUUAUUUUAGGUUGAAAAUUACAUAUGAGUUCUAUUCUUCUCCCUUUUAAUUGGUUUAGAAAGAAAAUGGGCGGCUGUUCAAAAAAAAGAAAGAGAAAGUGGGCUCAUGUUUAAAAUAAUAGGCGUAAGAACUAAGCCCAAACAUUACGUAGAAUAGAAGUCCAAAGUAAAGAUCAACAAGUCCUAGAGCACAACUAGAACAUGAUAAUAUUAUAAAAUGGUAAGUGAAAAGCUGAGGCAUCGGGAUUAUAAGAUCAUGCGCAAAGGCACCGCACGCGCACUUUCACAUACACAUUUGGAUGUAAGUGUGCUACUGUUUAGGGCCUGUCAUAUUUAACGGAGGCAAACUGUUGUGCUUCGGGAAAGAAAAUCAAAUUAAUUUGAUAAUGUAUGAAACUAUAUGGCCUUCUUUCUUACAUUUCUUGGAUCUCCCGCAUCUCUUACAGUAAUACUUCUAUGUUCCUUUGUUUUGUCUGUUCGUUGUCCCUCGCAAUAUAUUUAAUUGUUCGUAUCAACUAUUAAGUGGUCUCUAUUUACUUGUGAAUUAUAGUAUAGUACUUAGAAGAUUAACUUAUUUCUAAACAUUUAUUAGUUGCUUCAAGCGACAGCAUUCCCCCUCUCGUCAAUAGGAACAUAUGAUCACGCAUGCCAUUUUCUCGUUCACGAAUCACCGACAUACAAAUGUACUACUUCACCUGUCUUCGUGACAUAAUUCCAAUAUAUGUGCGGAUGUUUGGUUAAACAUUGGCAUACUCGCUUGGUGUUUUUAAAUUCACCAGUCUCUUUGUACAAAGUAAUCAUGUAAAUUAUAACUAAUUAUUAACAAUUUCAUAUCAUAAGAUAAAUGGAAAUAUACUGUAUCUAACAAGCUAUUGAGAAGUUAGAAAAACAUUUAGGGUACUUGCAUUAGUGAUCUUUGACCAUAACUUUUAACCAAAAAAAGAAAAAAAUCAACGAAGGAAAGUAUCUAUAUAUAAUAGCAAACCCAAAUUUUGUUUUCUAUGAUGUCAGCAUUUGUUUAUAGGAAAAUAAAAUAAAGAUCUAAUGGUUCAGAUUGGUUUGGUUUUUAAUCCAAGGAUUAUGUUCUUGCUAGGUGAUGUCAUCUUUUUUAAAAUAGAAUUUAAUCCAAUGGUUGAGAUUAGUACAUGUUUUAAUCCAAGAGUUGAGAUUAGACUUACCAUUUGUACUGACGAAGUCGAAGACGACGCUACCAAAGCGUUGUGUCGGUGGCGAAGCAUUGCGUAUGUUAAAGGAGUCGUGACCCAUGGUUCGCAUCUCUUCCUCUGUUUAUAUUUGAUAACCAGUUUGCUAUUCCAUUUUUUUUCAUUUGUUUCCUUAUUCCUGAUUCAAUUGUUUUUAUCCUUUUUAUCCUGAUUCCUGAUCAUUGCAGUUACCAUUAACAUUCUCGAACAUUGGAGCUUGCCAUUAACAUUCUCGAUCAUUGGAGCUUCGUUUAUGAAGGUAAAUCUUCUGAAACUUUCCAUCUUUCUUGUGUGUUUAAAGUUAAUCACCUUCCCGAAUGAAUUUUGUGUUAUUGAGAACCAUUAUUGUGUUUGAUUAAUUGAGAACGAUUACUUUAUUUGAUUAAUUGAGAACAAUUACUCUUUAAUCAUCGUAUCUGUCUAUUUUCGGAUUGAAUUUUAUUUUUCUGUUUUCGUUUCUCUGUCUCUAUUUGUAUCUGUCUUUCACAAUUUCAUUGGUUUGGACUUUAGAGUUUCUGUAUAUAUAUAUCUCUGCCUUUUUCUCUGGUUUAAUCAAACGGUUGAUUCCAACAUAUGAGGUGAAGGGGCCGUUUGUUUCUCCAUCUGGAUGAAGAUGAGAUUUUGUUUGUUUAGACACUAAAAGUGCAAUUCAUUCAGAUGGAUCAUCCGGAUGACUUUCGGAAAUUUAGGCUUAAUUUUAAAGUCCAUCCAGCUGAACCAAUUUGGAUCAUUUGAAUGGAGAUGGUUCAUUCAAAAUAGUAUAAUGUCUAUUAUUCCCUUAAUGUAAUUCACAAAUUACAAAUCUAAACAUAAUAUCAUUUUGUCACACACGAAAACUGACAAAACCACAAAAAUGCGUUUUUCCGCAAAAAUCUAAAACUAAUUUUCCACGCCAAAACCCCAAAAACGCAUUUUCCCACAAAAAUCGCAAAACAUGUUUUCAUGUCAAAAUCACAAAAACAUGUACAUGUUUUCACGCCGAAACCCCAAAACGCAAUUUUUCGCCAAAACACAAAAACAUGUUUUCCCGCCAAAAUCGCAAAAAUGUGUUUUCCCGCCAAAAUUGCAAAAUCUCAUUUUUUCCGCCAAAAUCAAAAACGCGUUUUCACGCCAAAACUGAUACGCCCUAAAUCGGGAAGGAUCACUUUAGCUCGGUGUUGGAUAUGAUCCGAGAAGACAAAUGACACUUCUGGAACUGAAAUGGAUUGAAAGGAUCGUUAAGAGAUGCGGAAUGGCUCUUGAUAUACCCACGAUCUAAGGCUAGCCACCUAAGAAAGAAUGAAUGUGUUGGCUAACCACCAAAUAACACACAAAGAUGAAUUGGCUGACCACCAAAUCAACAAGCCGGUUCACACCAAUGAACUAGCUAAAGAACUCUCUCUCUCACUCAGAGAAGUAACAAAAAUAAACUCAAAAACAUGGACUGACCUUAUUCAUAAAUGAGUUUACAUAUUUAUACUAGAUGUGGUCCAAGAAAGACAUAAUUAUUUGUGGGAAUCACACAUCUAGGAAAUGAGAAAUUUGAUUAGAAAAUAAUAAAUGAAUCAAAGUUGCUGAGUUUGAGGUGGACUGGUCAAGGAGACCCUUCGACUACUGUCAAGGUUCAUUCUGGUCCAUGGUGGUAAGGAUCAAGACGUGGGCUUGAUGAUCCAUACGGCCCAAAUUCGCGAGAACUGAAGAUCACCGGUUUUGUAAAUUGCAUAACUCUUUCAUCUGAACUCCAUUUGAUCUGAUUCUUGUUCGAGGAGUUCCGUAAUUUAGUUGAGAACAUUCUUCAAGUGAUUUCAUGCGUAGAAGCCUCGACGUUUGGAAGAUAUGAGUCAAACAAUUAACAUAUAUCUUUACUGCUUCCAUGCUGGUUGGCUCCAACGGACUGAUCCACGAACCGGGACACAUCAUUCCCUUCCUCUUCAAAAAGAUUUAUCCUCAAAUCUGAAAUAUUUAAAGGAAAAGGAUUAUAAGCAAAAAAACCAUAAUCAACACAAUGCUCACCUUGAGUUCGGUCCAUUUUUUGAAUGGAAGAUGAUUCUUCUUGGUUGGCUUGAUGACCACAAAUUUGUUCUUCAUCUAGCAUUAUGAAAAUUAAAACAAAAUCAAACCCGCGCUUUCAAGCGCGGGUUAAAAUCUAGUUGUUUAUUAAAUUUUCCGGAUUGAAACGAAUCACAAAUAUAAAUAUUUGUUCGUGAACAGAUCAAAAGUAUUCUAAAAUUUUCGUAUAUUCGGGCCUAAUUAUAGUUUUGAAGUAGAACGGUCGUUCUCGUUGAAUAGCAACAUGACAUGGCUCAGGUAUAUAUCAUGCUUAUUAACAGUUUAAUUUUCUAAGAAAUCAUAAGUAUUUCUCAAAAAAUUAAUACUAAAUCUCUUCUUCUUUAAAAUUUUAGUUGCAAUCUCCUUCUGUAAUCUGUCUCUACCUUUUAAACGUUUGUUUUAAAAUGUUAUGGUUGUAAUGAUCAUUUGGUAGAUCGUAUCCAAAACGAAUUUGUAAUAUAAUUAAUUCGAUAGAGAGUUCUUUAUUUUUGUUCAUCUUUGAACUUUGAAUAUUACUGCUGUGACCAUGCAAAGUUGGCUGCAGAUGGUCCAUUUACGCAAUAAGAAAUUUUACAAAUGUUCAAAACUAUCGGCUUCUUUUAAUUAAACCCACUUACAGUCUGCUGUAACCACUAAUCUAUUUGUUGUUUGUGUGUUUAUAAUGAUUAUCAACGACAUUGUAUUGUUAUGUAUAUUAUAUGCAUAAACUAUAUUAUUUGCGAAGAAUAAACAAAGCAACAUAGAAUUUUACAUACAAAUACAUAUACAAAAUAGUCCACACACUAAUUAUAUAUGUAGUAAAUGAUAUUUAUAUAAUGUGUACAUGCGCCACAACAUUAGAAAACUUGUAAACUCUAAUUGUUUAUCAAAAAGUCAAAAGCCUUUUAAUACAAAAAAAAUCGAAUAGAAAACCAAAAUAGUUGUUUCGAAAUACAAAGCUGAAACAUAGCACAACUUCUAUAGUUAAUUCAGACAAGGAGAGGCUCAGAAGGCGUCUAUCUUCCUAACAAGGUAAACCCCAAACGUAUUUCCAGUUUAUAAUAAAUCAUUUUGUCUUUUUUUUUGUGUGGAAUAUAUCAAUAUUUCAGGUUUAAUAUCUCACAGAAUUAGAUCCAAACGGUGCUAAUAAACGCUUUUACACACCCACGCAAAAUAUGAAUUUAAGAACAGAAAAUGAAAUAGGCACAUUGAUUUAAUAGUUAUGAUUCAUCAACUGUUCAUCUCGUCAAAGAUUUGUCAUUUGUUCCUUCGUAGCAACCGUUAAUUGUUGUCACUGUUCUGUUUUUUUUUCUUUAGCUUUAGGUUGUUUCAUCUGUUGAAAUAGCUUAAACCUAAUCUAGGAAUCUAAGAGCAUUUUUACUCUCUUUUUUUUUUUUUGCAGUUUUUAGCUUCAAAUUUGUAUUUAUGCAGAUUGGAUACAAUUCUUUUUAAAUACUUUCAUUAACUAUUAAUGAUAUUUCCAUCUUUAGCAAAUAAAAAACUGUCAUUUUAUUUAUCUUUAUUAUGCAUGUCACAAAAUUAGUUUUGAAUAAUUAUGCUUUUUCAAAUAUAUUUUUCGUUGUAAAUUUAUAAAUACGUCACGGAUGUAAGUAUUAAAAAUAUGAUUUUAAAAGGUAAUUCUUUGCCGUCUUUGUUAUAUUCCAACAUAUACUCUAUUUGAAAAAUUCACAAUGUAAUAAUUUCAACUGCUGUACACAAUUAUUUUAGGUUGAAAAUUACAUAUGAGUUCUAUUCUUCUCCCUUUUAAUUGGUUUAGAAAGAAAAUGGGCGGCUGUUCAAAAAAAAGAAAGAGAAAGUGGGCUCAUGUUUAAAAUAAUAGGCGUAAGAACUAAGCCCAAACAUUACGUAGAAUAGAAGUCCAAAGUAAAGAUCAACAAGUCCUAGAGCACAACUAGAACAUGAUAAUAUUAUAAAAUGGUAAGUGAAAAGCUGAGGCAUCGGGAUUAUAAGAUCAUGCGCAAAGGCACCGCACGCGCACUUUCACAUACACAUUUGGAUGUAAGUGUGCUACUGUUUAGGGCCUGUCAUAUUUAACGGAGGCAAACUGUUGUGCUUCGGGAAAGAAAAUCAAAUUAAUUUGAUAAUGUAUGAAACUAUAUGGCCUUCUUUCUUACAUUUCUUGGAUCUCCCGCAUCUCUUACAGUAAUACUUCUAUGUUCCUUUGUUUUGUCUGUUCGUUGUCCCUCGCAAUAUAUUUAAUUGUUCGUAUCAACUAUUAAGUGGUCUCUAUUUACUUGUGAAUUAUAGUAUAGUACUUAGAAGAUUAACUUAUUUCUAAACAUUUAUUAGUUGCUUCAAGCGACAGCAUUCCCCCUCUCGUCAAUAGGAACAUAUGAUCACGCAUGCCAUUUUCUCGUUCACGAAUCACCGACAUACAAAUGUACUACUUCACCUGUCUUCGUGACAUAAUUCCAAUAUAUGUGCGGAUGUUUGGUUAAACAUUGGCAUACUCGCUUGGUGUUUUUAAAUUCACCAGUCUCUUUGUACAAAGUAAUCAUGUAAAUUAUAACUAAUUAUUAACAAUUUCAUAUCAUAAGAUAAAUGGAAAUAUACUGUAUCUAACAAGCUAUUGAGAAGUUAGAAAAACAUUUAGGGUACUUGCAUUAGUGAUCUUUGACCAUAACUUUUAACCAAAAAAAGAAAAAAAUCAACGAAGGAAAGUAUCUAUAUAUAAUAGCAAACCCAAAUUUUGUUUUCUAUGAUGUCAGCAUUUGUUUAUAGGAAAAUAAAAUAAAGAUCUAAUGGUUCAGAUUGGUUUGGUUUUUAAUCCAAGGAUUAUGUUCUUGCUAGGUGAUGUCAUCUUUUUUAAAAUAGAAUUUAAUCCAAUGGUUGAGAUUAGUACAUGUUUUAAUCCAAGAGUUGAGAUUAGACUUACCAUUUGUACUGACGAAGUCGAAGACGACGCUACCAAAGCGUUGUGUCGGUGGCGAAGCAUUGCGUAUGUUAAAGGAGUCGUGACCCAUGGUUCGCAUCUCUUCCUCUGUUUAUAUUUGAUAACCAGUUUGCUAUUCCAUUUUUUUUCAUUUGUUUCCUUAUUCCUGAUUCAAUUGUUUUUAUCCUUUUUAUCCUGAUUCCUGAUCAUUGCAGUUACCAUUAACAUUCUCGAACAUUGGAGCUUGCCAUUAACAUUCUCGAUCAUUGGAGCUUCGUUUAUGAAGGUAAAUCUUCUGAAACUUUCCAUCUUUCUUGUGUGUUUAAAGUUAAUCACCUUCCCGAAUGAAUUUUGUGUUAUUGAGAACCAUUAUUGUGUUUGAUUAAUUGAGAACGAUUACUUUAUUUGAUUAAUUGAGAACAAUUACUCUUUAAUCAUCGUAUCUGUCUAUUUUCGGAUUGAAUUUUAUUUUUCUGUUUUCGUUUCUCUGUCUCUAUUUGUAUCUGUCUUUCACAAUUUCAUUGGUUUGGACUUUAGAGUUUCUGUAUAUAUAUAUCUCUGCCUUUUUCUCUGGUUUAAUCAAACGGUUGAUUCCAACAUAUGAGGUGAAGGGGCCGUUUGUUUCUCCAUCUGGAUGAAGAUGAGAUUUUGUUUGUUUAGACACUAAAAGUGCAAUUCAUUCAGAUGGAUCAUCCGGAUGACUUUCGGAAAUUUAGGCUUAAUUUUAAAGUCCAUCCAGCUGAACCAAUUUGGAUCAUUUGAAUGGAGAUGGUUCAUUCAAAAUAGUAUAAUGUCUAUUAUUCCCUUAAUGUAAUUCACAAAUUACAAAUCUAAACAUAAUAUCAUUUUGUCACACACGAAAACUGACAAAACCACAAAAAUGCGUUUUUCCGCAAAAAUCUAAAACUAAUUUUCCACGCCAAAACCCCAAAAACGCAUUUUCCCACAAAAAUCGCAAAACAUGUUUUCAUGUCAAAAUCACAAAAACAUGUACAUGUUUUCACGCCGAAACCCCAAAACGCAAUUUUUCGCCAAAACACAAAAACAUGUUUUCCCGCCAAAAUCGCAAAAAUGUGUUUUCCCGCCAAAAUUGCAAAAUCUCAUUUUUUCCGCCAAAAUCAAAAACGCGUUUUCACGCCAAAACUGAUACGCCCUAAAUCGGGAAGGAUCACUUUAGCUCGGUGUUGGAUAUGAUCCGAGAAGACAAAUGACACUUCUGGAACUGAAAUGGAUUGAAAGGAUCGUUAAGAGAUGCGGAAUGGCUCUUGAUAUACCCACGAUCUAAGGCUAGCCACCUAAGAAAGAAUGAAUGUGUUGGCUAACCACCAAAUAACACACAAAGAUGAAUUGGCUGACCACCAAAUCAACAAGCCGGUUCACACCAAUGAACUAGCUAAAGAACUCUCUCUCUCACUCAGAGAAGUAACAAAAAUAAACUCAAAAACAUGGACUGACCUUAUUCAUAAAUGAGUUUACAUAUUUAUACUAGAUGUGGUCCAAGAAAGACAUAAUUAUUUGUGGGAAUCACACAUCUAGGAAAUGAGAAAUUUGAUUAGAAAAUAAUAAAUGAAUCAAAGUUGCUGAGUUUGAGGUGGACUGGUCAAGGAGACCCUUCGACUACUGUCAAGGUUCAUUCUGGUCCAUGGUGGUAAGGAUCAAGACGUGGGCUUGAUGAUCCAUACGGCCCAAAUUCGCGAGAACUGAAGAUCACCGGUUUUGUAAAUUGCAUAACUCUUUCAUCUGAACUCCAUUUGAUCUGAUUCUUGUUCGAGGAGUUCCGUAAUUUAGUUGAGAACAUUCUUCAAGUGAUUUCAUGCGUAGAAGCCUCGACGUUUGGAAGAUAUGAGUCAAACAAUUAACAUAUAUCUUUACUGCUUCCAUGCUGGUUGGCUCCAACGGACUGAUCCACGAACCGGGACACAUCAUUCCCUUCCUCUUCAAAAAGAUUUAUCCUCAAAUCUGAAAUAUUUAAAGGAAAAGGAUUAUAAGCAAAAAAACCAUAAUCAACACAAUGCUCACCUUGAGUUCGGUCCAUUUUUUGAAUGGAAGAUGAUUCUUCUUGGUUGGCUUGAUGACCACAAAUUUGUUCUUCAUCUAGCCCCUCCAUUGGCUCAUAUGUGAAGUCAUCGAAAAUUGGCAAUGGGUCUUCGUUUUCAGGCUCGGUUUCAACGUUCUCAUUCUCUUAAGUCACCAACGGUCUCAUUCUCCAAAGUCACCAACAGUAUUUGCUUUUGACACUUGUUAGCAUAAUGAUCGAUCCUAUGGUAUUUGAAGCACCUGGUAGAAUGAGCUUUGCUUGUGGGUUUCACAGCUUUGCUUUUAUCAGAAGACAACACAUUAGUUUUCAAAUCAGAAUUUGAAAGAGAAGAAAAAUUACUUUGCUGUUUUGGUGAAGGAGAAGUGUUGGUGUUUCCCUUCUUUUUGAGUUGCCGGAUAGCAUGAAUUGCCUUAAGCAACAUUUUCUCCAAGCUGACAUAAGUCAGAAGGUCAUUCUGAUCAAACACAUCACAGGUGCACAAAAUCAAACCCAUCAUUAGAAGCAAACUGUUUCUUAUUUCCAAAAAUCAUUUGCUCUUUUUCUAACACGAUUUUAAAAGGAAAGUAAACGUCUUGUUGUGGUUUUGAUUUCUUGAGAAGUCCAAACAUCCUAGAAAUGUGAUCACCUAAAUAUCGUGAGCUAAACACUUUGAGAGUGUGAGGAUUUUUAUUUGCUAACUCUUUUGUGGAUGAUAGGCAGUCAAAAUUCAGCAAUCAAAACCCAAAACAAACUUUUGUGCCAGAAAGAAAAGAGAAAGAAAGAUGAAGAGAUUUUUGAUAUGGAUCCACCUUAACUGUCAUAAGGCUGGGUUUGUCUUCAGCCAGUAGGGUUUCUCUUCCACCACCCCCCCCCCUCCCUGGAUUUCUCUUCAGAAGUGAUUCAAGCUAAAACUUUUUGUGUUUCCCUUCUUUUUGAGUUGCCGGAUAGCAUGAAUUGCCUUAAGCAACAUUUUCUCCAAGCUGACAUAAGUCAGAAGGUCAUUCUGAUCAAACACAUCACAGGUGCACAAAAUCAAACCCAUUAGAAGCAAAUUGUUUCUUAUUUCCAAAAAUCAUUUGCUCUUUUUCUAACACGAUUUUAAAAGGAAAGUAAACGUCUUGUUGUGGUUUUGAUUUCUUGAGAAGUCCAAACAUCCUAGAAAUGUGAUCACCUAAAUCUGGAACUGAAAUGGAUUGAAAGGAUCGUCAAGAGAUGCGGAAUGGCUCUUGAUAUACCCACGAUCUAAGGCUAACCACCUAAGAAAGAAUGAAUGUGUUGGCUAACCACCAAACAACACACAAAGAUGAAUUGGCUGACCACCAAAUCAACAAGCCGGUUCACACCAAUGAACUAGCUAAAGAACUCUCUAUCUCUCUCACUCAGAGAAGUAACAAAAAUAAACUCAAAAACAUAGACUGAUCUUAUUCAUAAAUGAGUUUACAUAUUUAUACUAGAUAUGGUCAAAGAAAGACAUAAUUAAUUGUGGGAAUCACACAUAUAGGAAUGAAAAUUUUGACUAGAAAUUAAUAAAUGAGUCAAAGUUGCUGAGUUUGAGGUGGACUGGUCAAGGAGACCCUUCGACUACUGUCCAGGUUCAUUCUGGUCGUUCUGGUCCAUGGUGGUAAGGAUCAAGACGUGGGUUUGACGAUCCGUACGGCCCAAAUUCGCGAGAACUGAAGAUCACCGGUUUUGUAAAUUGCAUAACUCUUUCAUCUGAACUCCAUUUGAUCUGAUUCUUGUUCGAGGAGUUCUGUAAUUGAGUUGAGAACAUUCUCCAAGUGCUUUCAUGCGUAAAAGCCUCGACGUUUGGAAGAUAUGAGUCAAACAAUGAACAUAUAUCUUUACUGCUUCCAUGCUGGUUGGCUCCAAUGGACUGAUCCACGAACCAGGACACAUCAAAAACCCCAAAAACGUGUUUUCCCGUAAAAACGCGUUUUUCCGCCAAAAUUGCAAAAUCCCGUCCGCCAAAAUUGCAAAAUCUCGUUUUUCCGCCAAAAUCGAAAAUUUUCAUUUUCCCGGCAAAACAAAAAAAAACAUAUUUUCCCGCCAAAACCGAAAAUUUCAUUUUCCCGCCAAAACGCUUUUUCCACCAAAACCCCAAAAAACGCGUGUUCCCGCCAAAAUCGAAAAAUCUUGUUUUCCCGUCAAAAUCGAAAAAUCUCAUUUUCCCGCUAAAACCGAAAAAUCUCGUUUUCCCGCAAAAAUCGCAAAAACGUAUUUUUCCGCCAAAACCGCAAAAACGCGCUUUUCCCGCCAAAAAAAAAAAUCCGCCAAAACCGAAAAAUGCGUUUUCCCGCUAAAACAAAACAAAUCUUGUUUUUCCGCCAAAACAAAAAAAAACUCGUUAAUUUUGAAAUAAUUGUAAUGUAAAUAUAUUAGACUAAAUAAUUAAAUGUAAUAUAGUUAAAAUUAAUAUCAAAUAUAUUAUUAAAUCAACACAAGGGUAUUUUGGUAAUUUGUUUACUAAACUCAUUUGGAUGGAAAUGAAAAUAAAAAAACAAACAUAACAUCUAUUUAGAUGAUUCAUCUAGAUGAAAUAUCUAGAUGGACAAACAAACAGUCACAAAAGUCUGAAUGGAUCAUCUGAAUAGAUCAUACAAAUGAAUCAUCUGGAUGGAGAUGACAAAUGAUGAAACAAACAACCCCGAAGUUGAACGGUUAAACAAGUCACCCAUGCGAUAGGGGUUUCUCUUUGUCACCCUUUCACUAUUUUGACGAUGCUAUUACGUGCGGUGACUGUGGUCAUGUCCAUCAGCGAGAUUCCAACUUCAAGAUUGAGGCUGAUAGUGUCUGUUUCAUCUGGUCUGUACCGAGGCUGGUUGUCAUGAUUGCUGCUAGACUUCGAAGUGGGGACAUCGUGAUUGUGAUUGCCUUCGUAUGUUGUUAUUAUAGCUUUUGGAUCAUGUGAUGUUUCUCCACGUGUUUUCUCACUGGGCAUCCACUUGUACGUAGUAGCUCCUACAAAAAGCCAAAGGAACAUUACGAAGCAUAAUAUUUUCCAUAUCCAAACCCAGUUCCAAAGGGAAUCACGAUUUUAUGCAAAAACCAAACAACUAGCCUUUGAAGACAAAGACUAAACUGUUCUAGCUAUCAUCUUGAACUACAAGUUUUUCUUGUGUAAGUUCACUUGAGAAGAAAGUGGUUUGUGGUUAUACGAAAUUUGGAUUUGGGUAUCCCCUUGGUAAUAUGUGGCGUAAGUAUGGGCAGAAAGUCGUAAGCUUUUUUGAUCAUAGGCUCAGAGUUUCAAAAACAACCCUAGGCUCCCGAAUAGGUUUCACAACUGGAGUUAUUUCCGUGGUCAAGUGAUAUCUUGCAUAUUUACAUUGUCUUAUCCAUUUAUUCAUGUGCAUUUUCAUCAUAUAGAUUAGGGUUUAUCCAUGUCUAGGUUGCAUUUUGCAUACAUAUGUCUCUAUUAGGUAUUGGAGUAUCACAUAGAGUUCCUGGAGACAUUUGGGCGCAUUUGGAGCUCGCCAGGUCGCUCGCGAAGAAACGACCCGGGAGCGACCUCUUGCAGCGACGUGCCGAGGUCGCUCCGCGUCUAUUUGUUUGGCCGAACUCAUGUUUUCUCAAGGGCCUUUUGGUCAUUUCAUUAUGCACGUUUUUUACUUUCUAAACCUAUGUUUUAUAUCUUUUGUAAGCCAUCAGUGGCCAGAGGAAUCUCUUUUUCUAGAGAACAACUAAAAAAACUUCUUUUGAUUCAGAUUUCAUUUGCUUUCAUCUUGUGUUCUUGUUGAUUUCUUAUCUAUUUCUCUACAUGAUUAAUCUGAAAUCCAAUAUGGGUUUAAGAGGAAUCAUGGAGAUUAGUGAGUAAUCACCUUUUGAAUUCAUGGGUUAGGGAGAUUAAGGGUGAUUAGGUUAGUUCUAGGAUGUUUUAGUGUAGAUCAUUCUUGUUCCUUGCUAGUAGAGUAUUCAUAAUGCAUCUUCUGAGUUGGCCACUCAAAAGUUGAUCAAUAGGCAUUUCCCACCCAAAAGGUGUUUGAUGAAAUGCCUGAGACAACUCUCCUAGGCUUUUAGUAUACUUUGCCAAAGACAUUUGUUGUUAAAGGUGCUAAGAUAGCUAAUAGACUUGUUAGUAAUGAUUGCUUUCAUAUUAUUCAACCAAAGACAUUUGAUGUUUGAGAUAUGUUAGCAAAUGAGCAUUCAUCUAGACAUAGAGCUUGCUUAGAAUUGUGUCUAGGCUUAAGGUUGAUAGUUUGAUUGAUCAUUUGCCAUCCUUAGUUCGAUACUUGAUCACCCAAGGUCUAAUCCCUAUGCCCAUGAGUUCUCUUUUCCCUUAGUCAAGAAAGUAUCAUUCUGUUAUUGCUUUCUAGUUUUAGUAAUAGCUUAAAACCCAUCUAAAUCAUUGGUUGCACUUAGAUUAAGUGAGUACUUGCAUUCUCAGUGCUUUGAUAUCCCUCAGAACUGGUUCGACAAUCACUAUACUACAACAUUUGUCUUAGGAGCCUUGAAAACUCCUAACAUCAAAUUGGCGCCGUUGCCAAAUUCUGAGUAGAUUUAAACAUUGAGAUUUAGUCACUUGCUUGAGACUAAGUCAUUUUAAUUUUGUUUUGUUACUGAUUCUUCUUCUUCACCUACCUUUCACUUUCAGGUGUAUGAACUUGAGGAGCAGGGGUCCAUCAAACCUAGUUCCAAUAGUAGCAGACAUCAGAGCUUUUGAGAGGGAGUGUGCUAGAGCUAGAAGAGAAGAAGAACACCAGGCCCACUUGGAUAUUGAUAUGGCAGAUCCACCGCAAGGGGCAGAACACCAACCGCGGGCAGCUCGACCCAUUGGCACUUACGACCGCCCCAACAUACAUGGUCACAGAUUCGGAAUCCGAGCACCAGCUGUGGCAGCCAACAACUUUGAGGUCAAGUCAGGACUCCUCAACGUGAUCGAGAACAACAAGUAUCAUGGCUUGGCUCUGGAGGACCCAUUUGAUCACUUGGAUAGGUUCGACAGCUACUGUGGGUUGUCAAAAACCAAUGGUGUGUCCGAAGAUGCCUUAAAGCUCAAGCUAUUCCCUUUCUCUUUGGGGGAUAAGGCACGUCAGUGGGAGAAGUCUCUACCCAGCGACUCUAUCACCACUUGGGAUGAGUGCAAGAGAGCAUUCUUGGAGAAAUUCUUCUCAUCCUCAAGAACUGCUAAGCUGAGAAAUGAGAUCUCCAGUUUCCAACAGAAGAACUUGGAAGGAUUCAGUGAAGCCUGGGAGAGAUUCAAGGGCUACCAAGCUCAAUGCCCACACCAUGGUUUCUCUAAGGAGAGCUUGCUGAGCACAUUCUACCGUGGUGCUCUUCCUAAGUACAGGGCCAGACUGGAUACAGCUAGCAAUGGGUUCUUCUUGGGGAGAACUGAGGAAGAUGCAGAGGAGCUGGUUGACAACAUGGUAAAGAGUGAUGCAGUCUACAGUGGAGACCACGACAGAAGCAGUCGAACAGAUGAUAAGCAGACGAGGAAGGAGUUGAAAGCUCUACAGGAUAAGAUAGACAUCCUCCUUGCUGAUAAAGCCACACAAGAGCAGCUGCACUUUGUUGGUAACCCAAGCCAAGAUACACCACCUGUUGUCCAUGAGGUUGAGGGUUUGGAAGGUCAGGAAGAGCUGUGUUUCAUCAACAACAAUGGUAGCUGGUACAAAAAAGAGCCCAACUUUCAGUACAACAACUACCAACAGAAAUCCUAUCCCAACAACCAACAGAGUGGUUAUCCGCCUCGAAACAACCAGCAAGGCAGCUAUCAACCUCAGCAAAACCCCUCAUCUGGUUCCUCUGCUCCUCAAGAGAGCAGCACUGACACCCUGCUGAAACAAAUCUUGGAGUCUCAGACUAGAAGUGAGAAGCAUGUUGGUUAUGAGUUGAAGAACCUUCAUUCCAAGAUUGAUGGGAGCUACAAUGAGCUCAACAACAAGUUCUCACAUCUUGCUUCUACAGUCAAGAAUUUAGAGAAUCAGUUUGCUUCCAUGAACACUCACCAGACUCGCCAGCAAGGAUCUCUACCUGGAAAAUCUGACCAAAACCCCAAGGAGGCCAAAGCUAUCACCCUUAGGAGUGGUAAGCAGUUACCUCCUACAACCCUCACCAGGGAUGCUGAGAAACUAGGUGAGGAGGUGGCCAUCAACUUAGAUGAUGAAGUGGUGAUUGUUGAUGAGAAAAUCAAUGAUGAAAUCUUGGAGAAGAUUGUGGAAGCCAAGGGUAAAGGAAAGGUUGGGGAAGAGAAGAAAACAGUGAAAGAUGGUGAAGUUCUUGCUCCAGCAAGUGAGAAUUCUUUUGUUCCUCCUCCCUAUGAACCCAAACUACCAUUCCCUGGUAGAUUCAAGAGGCAGCUGCUAGAGAAGUACAAGGCUUUGUUUGACAAGCAAAUGAGUGAAGCUCAGGUUGCAAUGCCCAUCAUCGAUGCUUUCAUGUUGAUUCCUCAAUACAACAAGUUCCUGAAAGAUGUUGUAGCUGCAAAGAAGAAGGAAAUGGAAAGCAUGAUGAUUCUUACCCAUGAGUGCAGUGCCAUCAUCCAAAGGCUUGAUGUUCCAGAGAAGUUAGAGGAUCCAGGAUGCUUCACACUACCUUGUGCUCUUGGACCUAUGGUAUUUGAGAAAUGUCUCUGCGAUUUGGGAGCUAGUGUCAGCGUGAUGCCUUUGUCUGUUGCAAAGAAGCUUGGAUUCACUCAGUACAAGAAGUGUAGACUCUCUCUGGUGUUAGCUGAUCGUUCAGUGAAGUACCCUGUGGGCAUCUUAGAGGACCUACCUGUGAAGAUUGGAAGGUAUGAGAUACCUACAGAUUUUGUGGUGCUUGAGAUGGGUGAGGAGGCUCAAGACCCAUUGAUUCUUGGAAGGCCAUUCUUAGCUACAGCAGGAGCAAUUGUUAAGGUGAAAGAGGGCACGAUUGAUCUCCAUUUGGGUAAAGGGCAUGUUCUCCACUUUGACAUCAAGGAGAAAAUGAAGAAACCAACUGUGUUCGGGCAAGCCUUCUACAUUGAAGAGAUGGGCACUCUUACUGAUGAGCACCUUGAAGAGUUACCACCUGAGGACGACGAGGAGGGAGCAUCUCCCUCUACUCAUUCUCCAUAGAAGGUAACCCACUACUUUCCCUUGUAUAUACCAUUUCGUUUUUGCAUAUUAGUUUUCUCUUUUUGGGUAUCUCUCUCUCCUUGACAACACAGAGACUGUGUCAUUUAAGUUUGGGGAAGGUACCAAGUAUUUGAUCACGUUUGCUUUGAUGAUUUUGAGUCUCAUGCCUUGCAUUAUACAUAUAUAUUUAGCUUGCUACAUUAGGCACUCUAUUGUCUAGCUAUAGGUGGGGGUGAGUGUGGUGACUAUGAUUUGGAAGCAUGAAAAGUUCGAAGGAAAAGAAUAUACUCUUUGUGUUUAAAUGGAUAAUCUUAUUGGAACUAAUAGAUAAACGUCUAGCUCGAUUUGUGAAAAGUCUUGGCCCCCAAACAAAAAAAAAGAAGAAAGAAAAGGGGGCUAGCAAAGUUGUUUAGAGCUAAGAUUUGUUUAGAAGUUAAGAAAAUCUUUUAUAGAUUUCAAAGAAAUAAAGUUUUAUGUGCAAAGUAUUCUUGGGAUCUUUUGGUGAGAGAUGGGAGUUGGAUUUGACAUUAUGAAGUGAUUGUGAAACUUGUAUGUUUAGGAAAAGGGUAGACCAAUAGAGAUUGAGCAUUGUAAGCAUGAGUUGGUCUCUUUCUUAGAUAUAUUAUGUGCAAUGUCAAGGCUACUUGUUUUGAGAGUAAACCACUUUAAAAGAUCAUGGAUUUUAAACCUCUUAACCCACUUGAAUAAAAGCAUUCCCUUACUCAAUCAAAUGAUUUGGACCAGUUGACCAUUUGCAAGAAUUCACUUGAUGUUUUAUGCUUAAUGAAUGUGAGAGUUGGUUGAUUUGCAUGUGUGAAUGCAUGAUGAUGAGUGUAGGGAUGAAAAGAGUUGAGAUAGGCCUAGAGAAGCUAGAGUAUAAUAAGAGAGGGUGUACUAAUGCUGAAUUUAGAUGUUGAUUUGAGUGUUUUGUGUGUUUCUUUUGGCUAUGAGUUCCCACCUUCAAACCUUUCUCCCUAUGAGUUCUAGAAAGUUCACUUGUGGACAAGAAAAAAACAAGUUUGGGGGAGUUGAUAUCUUGCAUAUUUACAUUGUUUUAUCCAUUUAUUCAUGUGCAUUUUCGUCAUAUAGAUUAGGACUUAGCCAUGUCUAGGUUGCAUUUUGCAUGCAUAUGUCUCUAUCAGGUAUUUGAGUACCACAUGGAGUUUCUGGAGACAUUUGGGUGCAUUUGGAGCUCAAAAGGAGGUGAUUAGAGUGAUCUUUGGACGAGCACUGCCGGAGCGACCUCUCGGAGCGACGGCAUGAGGUCGCUGUGCACCACAUCCCGGAGCGACUCAUCCAGAGCGACUGCACAAGGUCGCUCGCGUUUUCACGUCUGGAGACACACAUUUACACCUCGGAGCGACCUUCCAGAGCGACGUGCUGAAGUCGCUCCCGAAGCUCAGAGCGACCAUACCAGAGCGACAGGGAGAAGUCGCUCGCGUUUUCAUCACCCGGAGACGCGAGAACGAGCCCGGAGCGACCUCUCGCAGCGACACAGCGAGGUCGCUCCCGAAGCCUGGAGCGACUUGUCGGAGCGACGGGCUGAGGUCGCUCCGUGUUUUGUUUCUGCUCGAACUUGUGAUUUCUCAAGGGCAUUUUGGUCAUUUCAUUAUGCACGUUUUUAUUUUCUAAACCUAUGUUUUAUUACUCUGUAAGCCACCAGGAGGCAGAUCAUCUUUGUUCUUAGAAAAACCACCAAAAACCUUUGGAAAGGGAUCUUUUUGAAUGAAUUGAUCAGUUUAUUAUUGAAAUUCUGUGUUCCUUUUAUUUCCUGUAUUUCUCUACAUGAUUAAUCUGAAAUCCAACAUGGGUUUAAGAGGGAUCAUGGAGAUUAGUGAGUAAUCACCUUUUGAAUUCAUGGGUUAGGGAGAUUAAGGGUGAUUAGGUUAGUUCUAGGAUGUUUUAGUGUAGAUCAUUCUUGUUCCUUGCUAGUAGAGUAUUCAUAAUGCAUCUUCUGAGUUGGCCACUCAAAAGUUGAUCUUUAGGCAUUUCCCACCCACAAGGUGUUUGAUGAAAUGCCUGAGACAACUCUCCUAAGCUUUUAACAUACUUUACCAAAGACAUUUGUUGUUAAAGGUGUUAAGAUAGCCAAUAGACUUGUUAGUAAUGAUUGCUUUCAUAUUAUUCAACCAAAGACAUUUGAUGUUUGAGAUAUGUUAGCAAAUGAGCAUUCAUCUAGACAUAGAGCUUGUUUAAGAUUGUGUCUAAGCUUAAGGUUGAUAGUUUGAUUGAUCGUUUGCCAUCCUUAGUUCGAAACUUGAUCACCCAAGGUCUAAUCCCAAUGCCCAUGAGUUCUCUUUUCCAUUAGUAAAGAAAGUCAUUUCAUUUAUCAUUAAUCAUUAGUUUAGAAACCUCUUAAAUUAUCGGUUGCACUUAGAUUAAGUGAGUACUUGCAUUCUCGGUGCUUUGAUAUCCCUCAGAACUGGUUCGACAAUCUUUUAUACUUCAACAUUUGUUUUAGGAGCCUUGAAAACUCCUAACAUCAAUAAGUAAGAAACACUUAGCGGAAGUGCUACAGAGCAAAUUGCAAACAUCGUUCCAAAACCCGUUAACAAAUCCUUGUUAAACCGUUUCAUAAGACCGUUUUUCAAUCCGAUCAACCGCUUUAGAUAGAAAGCGAUUUAGAGUUAAGAUUGUAAAAGCCGGAUAACUGGACUGAAAUAAACGAUAUAAUAAAAGCGAUAUGUUAAGAAAAUAAACGAUUGUAAAGAGAGAAUACAAGAACGAUAAGAAAUCGUAUUCGCUAAUGAACAUGGAGUCGAGAUAUAAUCUCUUUCCUUAACUCUAAAUAUUCGCUCCGUUAGUGAGACGGAACUGUACGAAUACCGAGUCCCAGGAUACAACCAUGGCAGACAAAUCACGCUUCACUCGUGAUCGCCCUAUCGAACUAUAAACUCUACGAAACACUCUCGUAUUUAAGACUUACGCUAAGGGAAUUUUUGCUGUUGGUUUCGAUGUGAAAAAGUUAAGAAAUGAAUGAAGAGGAGGCGGAUAUUUAAAGGAGAGAACCGGAUUUGAUUUUCGAAACUGUUGCACACGUUUAGCGAAAAUAUCUCUGAAAUCUCGGGAGUGGAGAGUUGAGAAACUUUCUCCGCAAGAUCUCUCUUCUGUUGACUCGUUCUGAUACAUUUCGAACAGACAAACUUCGUGUCGUUUUUAGACAAACUACGCGUCGUUUAUUCACGAACGUCAUUCAGUUUUUUAGAAAUGAAAUGAAAAAAAUGUAGUGCUUAACUUGGUCCAAAAAGAAUAUUCUUAUUGGGACCCAGAACCCACGCCGAGCCGAGCCGAGCCGGCCGUUUAACAACUCAUAACACAUGAGCAUAUAUAUAUUGCUCAUCUCCUCUCUACUUCCCCGAUGUGGGAUGUUCUUAAGUUUCAUUCAUUUAACCCAACCAAGAUUUUUCGAUGUGAUCUGUAGGCCCAUUUGUAUUCACCUUAUACCUUUUAUUAAUUCAGCCAUUAGGCUAUAAUAUUAGGCCCAACAUAAAUUAUGUAGAAUAAAAAGCAAAUGACACAGCCUUGCAUUGCAAUUAUACGAAAAAAUUUAUCAUAUAAAACUGGUUUCGGUAGAAAUGAUACUAUUUGUUAUGGAUCAAAGGAAUAAGUAGGCAAUGACGUACGUAACGUACUUAUGUGAUUUUCGAAUAAUUUAAUCUUUCUUUUUUUUGAUAAGUAUAUGAAUUUCAUUAAAAUGAAGCAGAUUGUACUUGUACAAGGUUAAAAGCAGUUAAACCAAUCAUUGCCAAAAAAAGAGGAAAAAACAACGAUAGGUUUAUAGUUAGUAGGCAAGCUACCAACAGCAAGAAAUUAUGAAAAUUUCAGCCACUGCCCUAGCAAAGUUCGAAAUUUCUUUCUGGACUUCCUUGCUAGGAUAGCUUGGCGGACUGUUUUGUCUAUGCUCCUGAAUGCUGCUUGAGGAGUGGCGGUUGGUGAGGCGUGAAGCCUUGCGUUUCUCUCAUACCAGAUUCUGUAGAUGGUCGCUUGAAUUACCAAGAGACGAAGAGUUACAGAGCUUGUGUUGUCCCUGAUGACUGACCAUUCAAGUAGAGCUGUCCAAGUGUGGAACAAGACAGGUCUGUAUCCAAGUCUUUUUAGAACUAAUCUCCAUAUCUGCUCACUGUAAUCACAACGCAGGAAAGUAUGGUCUCGGGUUUCUGUGAAACUCUGACAGAUACAACAAGAUGUGUCUAGCUGCUGACCCCAUGAAGCAAUGCGGGAUCUUGUCGGAAGCCGGUCCAAUUGAGCGACCCACAUCAGGAAAGCAUGACUUGGAAUAUGACCGCUGUACCAGAUUUUAUGUUCCCAUCCUUGAGUAGUUCCAUGGUGUCUAAGCGAAUCCCAAGUUAGACGUGUAGAGUAAGCCUCGCUGGUGUCAUCACCAACCUGCCAAACAUAGUGAUCAGGAACAGAUGACAUGGAAGGCAGUGGAAUAUUGCAAAGCAUUAAAUGGAUUUGUUCGGCUUCAGCAGAUCUAGCAGGUCUGAUCCUCCAUCCCAACGAUGAGCAGGCGGAGCUCACUGUUGCUAAUAGCGGAACUCCAAGUUGUCUAGGCCCCGAAGGCCCUGUUAUCUUUAUGAGAGGCCCUAUGGAGGACCAGUUAUCAAACCAGAAACUUGCCUUCAUCCCAUUGCCAAGGACACAUCUUAGAAACUGUUCAGCAAGAGGCCUAAGUUUAAGGAUUGAUUUCCAUAUCCAUGAUGACUGUUUUUCCUCAUCAAUGCUCCAAAAAUUCUGACCAUUUAAACGAUGCACUUUCGUCCAAAGAGCCCACAGUGAUUCAGAAUCGGCAAAAAGCAGCCAGAUCAGUUUUAGAUAUAGAGUCUUGUUCCACAUACUCAGUUCACGAAGACCAAGUCCUCCUUCAGACUUGGGAAGACAAACUGAUGUCCAAGAUACUUUAGCUGCUGCCCUUUCGGUUAUGUUUCCAUUCCAAAGAAAUCUGCUGCACAGCGAUUCAAUUGUUUUAACACAACCUUUAGGAAGGAGGAAGGUGGAGAACCAGAAGUUAAUUGUUCCAUGAAUGACUGAGGAUAAUAAUUCUCUUCUUCCGCGCCUUCAGUUGGUCAAUUAAGGCCUAUAAUCACAGAUUCUGAGCUUGCGGUGCAUCAGAGGAAGACCUAGGUAUCUCACAGGCAGCAAGCCAAGAGAAAAACCCAAACCAGUAAGGUCACAAGUUUCUGUCUGACUCAGACCCGCAACAUAGAGCUCUGUUUUACUCAAGUUCAUUGAGAGACCCGACCAUUCAGAAAAUCUAUCCAGCGUAAGAGAGAUGUUAUUGAGCGACGACACCUGCCCAUCAAAAAAGAUCAUUACAUCAUCUGCAAAGGCCAGGUGAGUGACUGGCGGAUUGGAGGCAGCCGGAUGGUAGCCGAUCAGACCUGUCCUAUAGCUCGAAUUCAACAUCUGAGCAAGAACCUCCAUUGCUAGUACAAAUAAGUAGGGAGAUAGGGGAUCACCCUGUCUCAAGCCUUUCGUUCCUUUGAAAUAACCUCCUAACUCCCCAUUAACAGCCACAGAAAAUCUGGUAGUUGUAAUGCAUUGACUGAUCAGAUUUAUAAAAUAGGGAGGCAGGCCCAAAGCUUCUAGAAUGGUAAUAAUGAAGCUCCAGUUAAGGGAAUCAAAAGCUUUUUUGAGAUCCACUUUUAGCAUUGAGCGUUUGGAUAUGUUCUUCCAGUUAUAUCCUUGUACCAGCUCUGUAGCCAUCAACACAUUCUCAAGUAGUAACCUGCUCGGAAUGAACGCAGAUUGUAUUGGAGAUGACAUCAGGUAGGAUCUGCUUCAGGCGCUUGGCAAGAAGCUUUGCGAUUACCUUAUACACAGUGUUGCAACAAGAUAUGGGUCGAAAAUCAGUGAUCUUUACUGCGCUUUGCUUCUUUGGGAUAAGCGUGAGGAUAGUUGCAUUCCAUUGCUGAAGUAGCUUACCUGAAGUGAAGAACUCUGUCACUGCGUUAAUCAGAUCAGUACCAACAAUAUUCCAGUUUGCCGUAAAGAACUCAGCCGGGUAUCCAUCGGGACCCGGUGACUUAUUUCUCGGGAGGGAGAAGAAGGUCUGUUUAAUCUCUUCACGGGAAAAAGGAGCUGCAAGACUGUCAAAACUAGCUGGUGGGCACUGAUAACUUAUUAGAGAGGCAAUCUCAUUAGUAGAGACAGUAGUUUGGAAGCUGGUCCCACCGAGAAGUUGCUCAAAGAAAGCUACCGCGUGCUGCAUAAUUUCCUCUCUUGUCUCCAAGAUACCAUCGUUCUCGUCGAAGAGAAGAAUUAUUUGAUUCUGGGAAAGCCUAGAACGGAUUGAACGAUGGAAGAACGCAUAGCCCAUAUCACCUUUGUCUAUCCAAUUAACUCUUGACCGUUGAUAGAGGAAGGACUCCUCAGUUUUAGCAAGAACCGCCCAUUUGGCGUGAGCUUUCCUUUCGUCUGCUGCAGCUUGAGGAGAUGGGUAAUUGAACAGAGUGUUCUGAGUUGGAUAAGGUCACCCAAAGCUUCGUGAACCCGUUUCUCUAUGCCUGAGUAGUUGUCUCGACUAAACGUACGGAUGAUGCUCUUGAGUUCCUUUAGCUUUUUUGAGAUUUUAAACAUAGCAGAACCACAGAACUGCAGAGAAUCCCAGCACUCCUUUAGCAAGAUUACAAAUUCCGGAUUAUCAUUCAACAAACUAAAAAACUUGAAGGGUUUCUUUGGCUUAGGCUUCAGAUAGUCCAAGAAGACACAACAGGGGGUAUGAUCAGAUAUCCCUGAAUCCCCAAAUACUCCCAGAGAAUUUGGAAAGGCAUUAAGCCAUUCAUCAUUGACAAGAAUCCUAUCCAAUUUCUUUGAGAUGAUAGAGGAGCCUUGAUUAUUCGUCCAGGUAAAAGCGUUGCCACAGAAUUGAAGGUCCGAGAGAGAAGUAGUGGCCAGACAUUGAUUGAAUUCACGCAUACCUCUGGAAGAAGAAAAUCCACUAGAUCUAGAAUGCUCAGAAGCAAAUCUGACUUGAUUAAAAUCACCGAGAAUCAGCCAUGGCAUCCCCGAAGAACACGAAGAUGAAGAAAGAAAUACCAGUUCAGACCACAGCUCACGCCUCAUUUUCCGACAAUUAGAGCCAUAUACAAACGUCACCAGAAACUCUGUCGAAACGAAGGGAAGUCUGACUUUGCAAGUGAUAGACUGCAACGACUUAUGGAGAAUCGAGACAGUCACAGAAGGGUUCCAGAUGACCCAAAUUUUUCCCAAAUCCGAGAAUUCGUAGUUACAAUCAUACCGCCAACCUGAGAAGGUCCUACCAAUGAUAGAAGGAGCCUUCACACUACUGACAUGGGUCUCAACGAGACCACCAAAAAUAGGGUUAUUACUCCUCAUCCAUUUCCUAAAUCCGCGACGUUUUAUUUUAUCAUUAAACCCUCUAACGUUCCAACAAAAAAUAUCCAUAGAGGGGGAAUUAUCCAUAGAAAUGAAAAAUUUAGAGGUUUAAAGGGCCUCCAGCCCUAGCAGCAGCUCUAAGCAGUUUCUUCUUUCUGUUCGAAAUCACUGUUGUGUAAUGCUCUCGGUCCUCAUCCAGAGUGUCCUCAUCGUUAGUUAAACUUUCAGGUUCAGAUUCUGACUCUGAGGUAAUAGAAGGAGAAACAGAGCAUUUCCUAUUGCUAUCAAAGAGACUAGCUUUCAGGUCAAUACAGAACUUAUCCUUGUCUUGAUCAGAUAAGGGAUGUUGAGAUGAAAUAGGUAGUGACUUAGAGUUUCUUCUCGAACCCAAGGGGGGAUCCAAGUUUAUUCCUUCCUUGGGUAGUUGCAUAACAUUGUUUGUUCUGACCCAUUGUGAGGAGGUCUUCUUAACUGAUGAGUGCUUCUUCCGGAGGUCCUCUGAACUAACACGAGCGGGAGGGUUGCCUGACCCUGUGACAAUCAGAAGUUGGCUAUGGAUAGGUGCCUUCCCUUUACGUUUUUCAGAGCGUUUGUCUGCGUUGUUUUUCGGACAAGAAUUUAUGUCAUGCUUCACGGAGUUGCAGGCCGGACAUUUAGCAAAUUGUGUGGCCAACUUUCUUACAGUGACUGCAUAGGGAUGGAAGCCAAGGACACGAAACCAAUAUACGGAAGAUCUCGCCUGAUUCGAAUUGAGCAUUCACCGCUUCAGGGAGAGGCUUGCGAGGAUCAAUCACAGUAUAGACCUUUGCCACUUCAAUGUUUGUAAGGUUAAUUGUUGACGGGUGCACGUAUAGCGGGUGACCUACCAGACCUGCAAUCUCUUUGAGGGCAUCUUGAUUGAAGAACUGAAGUGGAACUCCAGUGAAGUCCAACCAAACCGGAACAGUUGAGAGAGAUGGUUUCUCAGGCUUUGUUCCUGGUGACCAUUUAGCAACAAACAUCGUUUGCCCUUCCACUUGCCAUAGGCACUGACCCAAGAUACGUCUACGGGUAUUGGGACAAGGAACACGAAAGAGGAAUGCAUUACCCUCCAUUUUCGAGACAGAUAUGUCCCGACGCUGCUUGCUCCACAUACCAUUGACGAUAGCGUGGACUGCUCCCCUUGCUGGCGCGUCCUCGUAGAAUUGACCAAUGAUGAAGCUAUCCCAUGACUUGCGGUUCUUCGAUGAUCGAGUUAGGGAUUCGUACACAGGCUUCUCCAGAAGCUAGUGUAAACGGAGUUUCAACUGGUUCCAAGUUAACAGAUGCAGCCUUAACUUUGUCUCUCCACACAGUUGAUUGAAGCUUAGCCUCAUUCUGGGGAGGGUUUGUUUCUGGUACCGGUGGAGUUAGGGUAACCAUUUGCUCCUGGCCAGUCAAAGUGUUGUUGUUUUCAUCCGCCAUGGCAGAUGGAGACUUCUCGUGGCAAGAUAGAGCUUGUGUAUCACCACACUCUAUAGCCAAAGGAUGUUUUAAAGGGGAUUCGACCGUCUCGGGUUCCGAGUCCAAAAUAGGAGGUUCAGAUCUGGGAGGAUCCGAAGCUUGCUGGUCCUGCUUUGGUUCAGACACCGGGAGAGACGAAUUAUCAGGAGGAGGAAGGACCUCCGAAGAGGAGACUUUGUUGGCGGUUAGGUCAACAGACGCAGGUGCCGAUUGAGCGGAGGAACGGAGAGAAGAAGAGUUAGUUGAGCCAGCGGGGCUACAACCUGGGGAAUGCGAUUUGGGCUUCUUUUUCUUAGCCAUUGACGGUGGGGAGGGGCACCGGCGCCGUGAGAGACGACGGUGAAGGUUAAAUGAAUGGCUUCGCGUUGUCGCUUUUUGGGAAACUAUUUCAGGCGCGUGAGGCGCGUCUUGUAAAAAACAUAUUUGAGGGUUACCUCGAAUAACUUAAUCUUAAUAUGGGUCUUUAGGCAUUGAUAAUUUUAUAGUCCGUGUUACAAUAUUUAUCAAAAAAUUAAAUAUAUUUUAAAAUAUGAAAAUAGUCUCUGGUUGAUUGAAGACACUAAAGCAAAUAUAUAAUAAUUAGCACCCAAUUCAUCUUGGAAAAUAAUUAGAUCUUACGUUGAGUCUGCAGUACGUCAAUGUUAGCCAGUCCAUAGACCAGCUCAUCAAAAUGUUUGUGUAAGAAAAAUAAGAGUAUACUAGAACUUAACCCGCGCGGGGGCGCGGGUGUUGGAUUUAAUUUGUGCUCAAUAUAAAUUCAAGAACCGCUGAUUUUAUAAAAAAUAAAAUUCAUGUAUAUUUUUUAUGUUUUGUAGUUUACAUAUAUAAAGUAGAAUAUAUUAUUUUAUAAUAUAGAUGUUUAAUAAUAAAAAAUUUUAUUUGUACAUAAUAUUAUAUUUUUAUUAUAACUUAAUACAAAUUCAUAUAUUAACCUAUGUUUUUUUUUGUUAAUUUAUUUUCAAAUGAAAAAAACAUACCUAAAUUUUUAAUUUUUGCAUUAGUUUUCUAUGAAUUAUUAUUAAUUUUAUGAGAUUUUGUUUUAUUGAAAAUUGAACUCUCGGAAUUUGUAUAUUUGACUAAACUAAAUAAAGUAAUACUAUAUUUAAUAUUCUUUUAUAUAAUAUAUACUAUAUAUUUCAGUUUAUGUUUUUAUUUUCACCAUAAAGAAACAACAACCAUUGUAAUUAAUUAAUUAAAUUUAUUUUAAAUGUAGUGGGAGAAUCUGUAAAUAAAAAAUACAAAAAGUAAAUACGUAAUUUAUUAUAAAUGCAAUGGCUACAUGUGUAAAUAAAAUGAAGUAAUUAAUAUGUUAUUCAUGUUUCCAAACAAUUAUCAUUUAUCUUUUUUUAUCCAUGUUUCCAAACGUAACCAAAAGGUACUUCAGUUCUAAUAAUAUAGAUAUGUAUUUUUUUGUCAAGAAUAAUAGACGCUUUUUAAAAAUAAUCUUUCAAGAAAAAUAGUCUUUUAUUAUUCAAUUAAUUAUUAAAUUAAUUUCUUUUAAUGCUAACACCCAGCAAAGCCGCAAUUUCAAUUUAUAUGCCAACAUUUUAUAUGAGUGUAUGAUAACUUGAUAAUUCAGAUGGAAUAGUACUAAGUGAUAUAAUCUCAUACCAAUUAAUUUACCAUCUCUUGUUAUCUAAAUACAUAUAGUUACAUGUUUUUUACAUACUCUAGUUAUCCAACAUCCCUUGCUAAAAAAAAACUGUUUUUAGGAAUGGUUGAUAGCUCAUACUUGCACAAGAUAUUCAACCCAAAAACAAAAAAGGGUACAGGAUGUGAAAGAACAAAUAUGUACGAGGUGUUAGAGCAUUUCAAAUGAUACACAAUAAUUUUCUCUAUAUUUCAUUUUAAAAUAGAGUAACACUAUUAUAGAGUUGGAUUUGUUUCAAUAAUUCACUCUAUGACUAUAAUAAAGUUACUUUAUAAAGUGAAAUAUAGAGUAAUGUUAUUUUUUUUAUUCUAAAAAAUCAACAUUACCCUAUAUUGCAUUCUUUUAUAGGGUAACUCUUUUUUAGAGUGAAAUAUUUGAGUAAAUUCAACUUUAUAAUAUAGUUAUUUUAUUUUAGAAUAAAAUAUAGAGAAAAUAUGUAAACAACCCAAAAAAAAAUGUGUAAACAACCCAAAAAAAAGUACAAGAUGUUAGCAAGAGAACAAAUAUGUACAAGGUGUUACUACUGAACAAAUGUGUAAACAAAGCUGAUUAUUCUAUUUAGCUAACGUGGCCGAAACAAUUGGUUUUUGAUUGAAUUGAUUGGGCCGUCAGACUAACUGAUAAUACAAUAUAUUUAUUUACAGGUUUUUAAAGAAACAAAAAAGCCUCAAGUAAACAUGGCAUUUACAUUGGCACUGAUUAGUAAUCUUGCGGAAUGGCGGAAUGUUGUCUUAAAUGUGAUUCCGUAAAUAUAUUACCAGUCAACAAAAUUUGCGAAAAAACGCAAAAUGCAAGUUUUCAGCAAAAAUACAGAUAAAUUUUUAUUAAGUGGAAAAGUAAGUUUUAGUUGAUUAUUUACAAAAUCAACACUUUCAUAUUAUUAAAUAGAUAACAAUUAGAACAUAUUGAAAAAUUAGCUAAAUAUUUAUAAUAAGAACUAAAAUAUUUUUAUUAAAUUCUAGUUAUUUUAACUUUUUUAAUAAUUACUUUAAUUAUUGAUAUUUGUAAUUUCUUAUAACAAAGUAAUACCCUAUGAAAUAUUUUAAUCAAUUUAAUAUAUAUUCUUUUAUUCUGUAAAUUUUAAAUUUUCCGUACUUUAGUUAAUUUUUCUGCAUCUUAAUUAUUUUUUUCUACGAUUCCAAUUAUUUAUCUGCGUUCUAACUUCUCAGUAUGCAGAUUAAAACCGUUUUUGUUUAUAAAAAACACGUUAGGUGGAUUCGAAAGAUUCGGAUAUAUACACGUUUAACUUCGCAAUAGGUAUAGUUAAGAGUUCCGAGAAAUCCGUAUAGUAAAGUGCCCAUGAAAAACUAUGCAUGUAGUCAUAUUUCCACCUUCAUAUCAUCAACUGCAAAAUUGCUGGAAUUAAUUAUCAAGAUGUGAGAUAAUAUUUAGUACAUGCAUUAUUGUUGUUAUAGAAAUGAUUGGAUCAGAAAGUCAUCAAAUCGUCGUUUCGGAGCAGUGGAAGAAAUAUGUGUGAAUGUAUCUCCAAUGAUUAGGACUGUGGAAUUCAAUGACACCACCGAUACAUCACAUGAAUCCCCUGUUCGAAAACGCGGCCACCUAAGCGUUGUUCAGAGGUUGAUCGCAGUGAUUAUACCCAAAAUUGGUGUAGUCAGGCGUUGACCUGCGUAAGACCGCCUAAUUUCUGCGUUGACCGCCUAAUCCCGCGUUGACCGCUUAAAUUUUUUUUUUCCGUUCGUGUAAGUUAAAACACGGUUGAUUAUUUUUUACUUUUUAUUGACAGAUUUUGUGUAAUUAUUCAUUACUAAAUAAUUAUAAUUAGCUGUCAAACCUAAAAUAAACACAUACAUACUACAUUUAGGGAUUUUUUUCGUACCAAAUCCACCUUUUACAAAUCAAAAAGACACUGUUUAAAAUUAUAUAUAAAAAAUUAUAUAAUCAUGUAUAUGAACUUGUAUCAUCAUGUUUAAAAUUAGCUAAAUAUAUUAUAAAUAUAUUAAAUUAUAUUUAAAACUAGGUCCCGCAUAAUUUUCGAGUACUCCCCGAUUUUUCGGUAACUCGUUAGGUCCGGAGUUACCCGACUAGCGCCUAGCGUAGUUCCAAACAUGGCAUGAAUCACACGUAGUAUCUGAACCGCAGUACUGUAUAUUCACAAUAACAUUCAUUAUCAAACCCUUAAUAAUAAUAUAGAGUUGUACAUAUAAAAAUCAGAUUUAGUAUGGACGUAUAUGGCUAAGUUUUCGAACCACUUGAAUCAAACAACUGCUAAGUAAUCAUUGGAUGAGAUCAUCUGCAGUCAUCGAGAUCCUUCAUUAUUACUUCCUCGGUUUCAUACUAGUUGUCUUUGUAUACUUUAAAAUUUGUUUCAUUUAUAUAUUUGUCAAAUUUUCCAAUUUUCAAUUAUAUUUUCAAUUCAUAUAUUUGUCAAAUUUUCCAAUUUUAUCUCUAUUCUCCUACUUCAUUAAUUAUCAAAUACAAAUAAGCUAAAUGCAUUAAAUAUGGGUAUAAUUAGAAAAUUUAAUUGUUUCCUUAAUAGUAUAAGUGAAAAAACUUUAAACUGAAACGGAGAGAAUACUAUUGUUUUGAAACUUGAUCAUUCAUUAUUAUUGAGAAAUAAAAGGUUUGUUAACUAAAGGAUUUCAUUUUGGAGUUGGAUGAUCCCUCUCCUUUAACAAAACAGAAGAAAGACAAAAGUCAAAGUUAUAUAGAGGUACCAUCAGACUGGACUCCCAAGUCCUAACCAACCAUCGUGUUAAGCCAUAAGUGAUUCGUAAUGAUGGAUCGUUAAUUCUCCGGGUUGGCUGGUUGGUUCCUUCAUUAGGUUAUAUAUUUCAUUUUGGGCAUUUCAAUCUUUCUGUGGUUACUACUAAAGUGGCGUGGUUCCUACUUUUCUAAUCAUUCAUCGUACCAGUCAAGGACUAUGAGUUAUAAACAAUUGGAUUAACUAACCAUGUGAAACGAUAGAUAUGCCUAUGCUCGGGUCGUCACUAUCAAGAAUCGUUCUUGUAAAGUAGGGAGUUAUGGUUACAUCAGAUAUCAAAUACCAUAUCAUAUAAAGGAAACAAAGCAACUCUAACCAAAUGUAUUGAAGAUAAAAGGUUGAUUUUCUAAAUAAUAUUCCGAUUAAGAUAAUAAGAGCUCGGGGGGCGGUAAAACCUACUCAAUUCAUUUUAUAUGAUAUUAUAUCAAACAUGAGUGCGUAAAUAUAAUCAUAGCUUUGUAUUAUUUAUCAACUGUAUCUGUAUGUCCAAAAGAUCAUAUAGCCUUGUAUUAGUUACCACUUACCAUGCAGUGUAUAAUAGAAUAUCCUUUAUAAAAAAUACUUUAAAAUCAAGCUCCACAACAUGCAUAUAGAGCGAGACGUGUUAAACACGGAGACAAAUCUUUGAUAAACUACUGUAAGUUACCAAGCGCCAUAGCUUGCAUGUAUUUAUAGAAACACGUUGGAUGUAUUAUGUAUGACAUGUUUGAAGACACAGAGAGGACUGGUUAAUAACUUAAUAACCACUAGAGCUUUGAUCCGCGCUAGCGCGGAUAUUGAUUUUUACGUUUUUAUAAAUUGAUAUUCAUUUUUCAUAAUUUUCGAGGUGUCGCCAUAUAACUAAUUAUAUUCAAAAUACUCGGACUGAAUCGAGUAACAAGAUUAUUUUUGGUACAAAUAUCUGAACCUGUUUGAGAUAUAUUGGUUAUUUAAAUAGUUUUAUGUUCCUAUAUAUCAUAAUCAGAAUCAUUCAGAUCUGGGAUGACCCAACUCGAACCCCAGACAUAAAUUUAUAAUAUUCAAGCGGGAUCUAAUUUCAAAACUAAAAGAAAAAAAAUCUCGAAAGAAACAACUUAUACCUGAAUGAGUACCCGAAUGUCUAUACCUAAUUGAUUAUGUAAAUAAAUUAAAAAACUCUUUCUAUAUGUUUGGCUAAAAUAAGGGAAAUAGACAUAAUUUUUUUAUUUAGUAAAAUAGUUACAAUAAAUGUAAUACGUUUUAAUAAUAUAGAUGAUUUAAGUUAUUAUGUUAUUCACAUAAACUAUAUAUGCCUUUGAAUUAGGGGUGUCAAAAUGAGUUAACUCGCUCAACUCAGCACAACUCAUGGUGAGCUCGAGUCUUUCAUGAGCUAGCUCAGCUCAGCUAAUUUAUUAUAUGAACUUCAAUAUGCAAACUUGAACUCAUAUCAUCUAUAUCAUGAAUUAAUGAGCUAACUCGCGAUCAAAUAUAAAAAAAUAAAAAUUAUAAAAAUAAUUAAAAAAUAAAAUAUAGAAUAUUUUUUAUAAUAUAUAUAUAUUCAGUAUAAAAACGAUCAAGCUCAUGAGUUAGCUCAUGUUCAUUAAAGAUCGUUCAUAUAACUCGUGAUCUAGUUUCAGUGCGGUCAUUAAGCUCAUUAAUUAAAUGAACCUAAAAUAGAGAUCAUACUCAUGAAAAAUUUAGCUGAGCUGAGCCAGUCCGUGAGCGAUAACUCAUUUUGACACGCUUACUUUGAAUUAUGUGUUUAGCUACGUAAUUUUUCACCGACUGGAAAUAUAAACGAAAGUUUUAGUAAAACAAACUAAAUCGAACUAUUAACCAUAUGCAAAACCCGGUUAUUUACAUUUUUGACUUUUAUAAUUUGCACAAAGUUAAUGUUAAUCAAGUAAUAAAUACAAAACUUCAUUAUUACUUUUAUGACAAUAUAAUUAAUAAUUUGAUGUAUUGUUAAGGCAAAUAUAAUUUAUGAUGUAAUGUGAUGUAUUGUUUAGGUAAUAUAAUUAAUAAAAUUACAAAAAUGAAAUUAUACUUCUUUUUAUACUGUUAUCCAUGUUUCCAAACAAUUCUCAUUUUUACUGCUAUCAAUAUUUCCAAACAAUUCUCAUUUGUACUUCACUUUUAAUAAUAUAGAUUAAACAAACUUUUAGUUAUUUGAAUUUGUACAUUUUUUUGCAUGUUGGGGCUGCUUAUCACUAAUGGGCCACUAUUUUGGGCCAAUUCAUUUAGCUUUGUAAGAGAUGGUGUAAUUCAAACAGUAUUUCGUUAACGAACCAGAAAACCCCACUUAUUUUAAAAUAAUUUAUUUUAGAUUUUUAUUCUAUUUUUAAUUAAUUAUAACUACUUCAUUAAUUAUUUUUCUAAACAAAUCAUCAACAUCAUUUAUUACACAAGUAUAAAAUAGAAAUUACAUAUUUUCAAUGGUUUUAUUAUAUACUAGGGUAGGCUCUAGCGGGGUAUACUUUAUUUAUGAUCUCAAUUUUUAUUUUUUGUAUGAUUUGGUGGUUUGUGUUUAAGUUUUUAAUUUACAAUAGUGUUUAUUGUUUAUUAGGACAUUUUAAGUGAUGAAGGAUAUUAUAUUCAUUUUAGUUAAUGUUUGAUUUUGCUUAUUUUUGUCACUUGUUUUUUUUUUCUCAAAUAUAUUUUAUGACAUUAUACUAUUUUAGUUAUUAUCUUUCUUUUUUGUUAUGUUUUUUAUAAUGAGAACACAUUUUAUAUCAUCUUCGCAUAUGUCUAACUAUUAUUUUUUAUUAUUCUUGUUAGAGAUUAUAAAGUCGUAUUAGCAUGAUAUGAUUUUCAUGAUUAAUAUGGUAUACAUUUAUUGAAUGUUUGCUUAAAUUUUUAUAUAUAGUAAGUAUUAUUCAAGUUUUUAUUGUUGUGCUUACGUUUAAUACUCAAAAGAUUGAUUAUUUUAUAUUUUGUUUAAAUUGAAAUUUUAAUUAAAAAAAAUAUUAUUCAGUUCAGUGUAUUAUUAGUGGCUGUUUUACCAAUUCUAUUACCUCCUAGAUUUUUUCAUUUGUUAUACCGAGUAAUAAAUUAUUUUAAUUUAAAAUUUAACUAUAAAUUUAUUAUGGAACAGGAAAAACAUAAUAUAAUAUAUGUAUUAGUUAAAAAUGUAUCAUGUGCUAUAAUUUUUGAACAAGAUACAUACAUUUAUUGAAUCUUAUGUAUUACAUGUUCUUAAUAAUUGUUUAUUUGAUGUCUAUCUCGAAUUUGAGUGGUGAAUUGUUGUAUACUAUGUUUUGAAAUUAGAUGCUUGGUUAGUGGGUUUAAUGUUUAUUGGUUAUGAUUGUGAGGCAUGGUCUUAUGCUCGUUGGUGCGGACGUGUGUUGAUACGGUGUAAAAUUUCAUUGCAAGAAAUGAUAGUGAAGAACCCUAAGAUAGGAGGAUCACUUUAGCUGGGUGUUGGAUAUGAUACGAGAAGGCAAACGGUACUUCUGGAACUGAGAGGGAUUGAAAGGAUCGUCAAGUCAAGAGAUGCGGAAUGGCUCUUGAUAUACCACGAUCUAAGGCUAACCAUCUAAGAACGAAUGUAGUGUGUUGGCUAACCACCAAACGACACACAAAGAUGAUUGGCUGACCACCAAAUCAACAAGCCGGUUCAAACCGAUGAACUAGCUAAGAACUCUCUCUCUCACUCAGAGAAAAGAAGAAUCGAAAAUAAACAACCAAAACUGAACUGAUUUUAUUCAUCGAACGGGAUUACAUAUUUAUAGUUUUUGUAGUCAAAGAAAUUAAAAAAAUGUGGGAAAACAAUGCAUAGAAAAUACAAAUUUGACUAGAUCUAGUCAAGGCACGGAAAAUGGAGAAGAAUAGAUCUGGUCAAGGCACGAAAAAUGGAGAAGACUAGAUCUGGUCAAGGCACGGAAAAUAGAGAAGACUAGAUCUGGUCAAGGCACGGAAAAUGAUAAGAACGCUUGCGGGACUGUCCGGAUGGUCCGCCGGAUGAGAAUGCAUGUCCGUCUUCGGUUUCUUCACCACCCAAGCUAAGUCUGGCUCGACCGUGGGUCUUAGAAUGUCGAGUUGGUCAGGGAAGACGAGCUUCAGUACGGGGAAAUCGGUCGUCUGGUCGUGGUUCCAGCCGAAGCUCCAAUCGGGACGCACGCGGGACGGCUCGGUCAGUGUGUCUGGUACGGUCAGAUGAACGAACCUCGGUCAAAUUGUUCGGAACGUCAUGAUCUCCAUGCUGGUUGGCUCCAAUGGACUGAUCCACGAACCAGGGCACAUCAUUUAGUAUGGCCAAAGUUUGAGUAUGUGUGACCAAAUGAUUUUUGAUAACCAAGUAAUGAUCCAUUAAUAUUAAACACAUGUGCUGGAAUAUUAAAAGUUCAACAAAACAGGAUAAUUAUGAAAGAGAAUCAGAAAUUCAAAACUUGGCAAGUAAACGGAUCUUCGGGUAGGGCGAAUGCAAUGGUAGGUUUUUUUUUGUCAUCUGGUAGAUUAAUAUAAAUUUUAAACGUUAACUUACACAAAGCCGGCAAAGGUCUAUAACCUUUCCGGAGCCAAAAGCCGGCGAGUUACACGAAAACACCCGGAGCCAAAGGUUUAAACUAUAUAUGCUUGUAGUAAUAAUAUCCGGAGUCAGGUUAUAUAUCCAAAAACAUAUGUAUCUGCUUGUAGUAAUAAUAAACAUUACACCCAUCUUCUUUUCCUUUGAGCAUGCAGAUUCUUGGGGGCAUUAUAAUAAGGAUCAUGUGUGUACCAUAAGAUGGCCUCUUCACGAUCGGGAUAUAUGGCAAGGUAUGUUUCAGCUUUCUCCAACAUCGGUCGACUGAUAACAUGUUUGUACGCCAAUCGAGGAGGUCCAUAAAUGCCAUGCCUUCUUCAUGUUCUCCUGUGAUCAUCAGAAGAAUAGCAUAGAUCAUGGUUGCCGAGAACUUGAGAUGUUUGAGGCCUUUUUUAGGCUGAUCCAAUGCCAAGUAUUGCUUCACUUCCUCUAUAAAGUGUGCCUCAGCAUUACGUGUCUUCUAUAUUACACGCAAUACAAUUUAUGAUUAUCAUUUUUAAUACAAUUUUUUUAGAUGUACAAUGAUUGGUUUAGUUAAAUAAAUAAAUAAUAGUAUAAGAUCAUAAUUCCGUCGAUUUAUUAUGUGAAUUUAUGGUAUGAUGAAUAUUUAACGUAAAAGUAGGGAUCCUUUUUAAUAUCUAGAUGUUAGAGGGAACUCCCCUAACGUAAAGUGAAUUACUAUUGUAUGUUAGAGUUCAAUAUAUGUAUGUCAAACCAGUAAAUUCAGUUUUGCAUUAUUUUUUUUUUGUGUUAUGUAUUUUUUAAAUAAGCUUGAUAUAUAAUAUAUAUUAGAUUCCUUGGUUCUUUCAUUGUUUUUACGUUUUAUGUGUUUUAUUUAUUUUUAAAAAAUCUUCUAGGUAUUUCGGUACAUGGAAAUCAAAGACAAUUCAUCCAAAUUGUUGAUGUUUAUUUAAGCAUAUGAUAUACUCCUAAUGGUUAUAAAAAUAAACAUUUUCUCCUGGUUUUGAAUAUUACACAUCUAAAACAGUUAUAAAUCCUCAUUCUUUUGUUGCCAUUCCAAUCACUUUGAUAAAAAUUAGUAGGUACCAGCGAAUAGAAUCUAAUGGAUUAUGGUAUAUAGAUAGAUGAUGAUUUUGAAAUCCUAGUGAAGAGAUUCUAACUCUUCCUUCGGUUAAAAACAAACUAUACGGUCUAACAUUAUACAGAAGAAGAAACAGACGAGAUACAUUAUUACAAUGUAGUGGAGAGAGAACUGAAAGUUAAGAUUAUGGGGCAAAAAGAUAUUGUAUGUUUAGUACUUUAGUAUGGGGCCGGAAAUACAAAGAAAAACAAAUCCCAAAUUUCUCAAAAAACAAUGCGCGUCGUUUUGAGUUUCCAAUUUUAACAAAAUGAAUGUUGUUUUAUGUUUUCGGUAUUGGAGAUAUUGUUGACACAAACGUUUUCCUUCUCCUCAAACUGCAAUCAAAAAGUCCAUGAAACGACGUCAUUUAGUAAAGAGACCUCUUCUGAAGUCGUCAGCACCAAAUAUAUCCUCUUCCCAUUUUCACAGACAAAUUCAAAAUCAUUAAUGGACCUAGAGAUUGUUGGUCGUCACGCUUUAUUUUUCGAGAAGAUUUGAUGGCUACCUUUGUAAACUCCCCAAUGGCGCUCGUUAACUGGAACAGCCACCGGUACGAUGUUCUUCACCUCCUCUCUUCUCUUCCACCUCUGCGUAUGAAACGCCGCCGUUUGGUUCCAGACGACCCCGACUUGGAAUCGGACCUCGAUCACGAGCGCUAACUUGAUUUACCGGCGGAAUCUCUAUCUCUUUCGCAUGAUGAGAGAGGUAAAGAGAGAAUCUCACAUAUAUUUAUACCGAACCCACACCGUCUCUCAGAUCUAAACGACGCUUUGAAGACACAUCGUGGGAGAGUGAAUCAAUGAGAUUAAACACAAAUCCAUAACUGGGGCCGUUUCAGAUGGAGAGAAGAAACGCAAACGAACUUCAUUUCUUCGAUACAACCAUAUCAUGGUUAUAGGCGAUCUUCAUUUCUCCGGGCCGGAUACUCUGUACAAAAUAACAGUCCAAACACACAUUAAAAGAUCAAAGCCCAGCAUGUCACAAACUGAAUGCUACGGUAAGUUUCACCACAAACUGAAUACAACAACUUUCUGACCUGGAUCCUAGGUAGCGCAACAGGAGGGAAGAUAACAUCUUGUUAUUAGUAUAGAUUUUACAUUCCAUUUCUUACACUUUUUAACUACUUCAUUUAUAAUGUUUUGACAUCAUUUAUUUUACAUACCAUAAUAAUUCAGCAUAUUUAAAUGAAAUUACUGCAUUUGUGAUAAGAGUUCAAAAUUUUAACAAAUAUUUUUUUAAUUUUUUACAUAAUCAGUUAGAGAUAUACAUUCAUGUACAUGUUCAGAUCGGAUCUUCCCAAGUUUGGAUCGAUUCGGUUUUAGUGUAUAUAAACCUAAAAUAUUCAAAACUAAUGUAUAUGAAACAUGUUCCAAUAUUUGUACCAGAAGUAACCAUAUUAACCGAUUCAGUUCAGGUAUUUUGAAUUCAAACAAAAAAUAAUCUAAAAUAACUAAAUAGCUAAAAAUAACCAUAUUAUUCUAUUUGAUUUGGGUUUGAUUCUGAUGUACAAGAACUAAAAAUAUUCAAAUACUUAUAUAAUUACUUAUACGAUGACACAUAUAAAAUAUCCCCUAUAUAUUAAUUGAGAAACAUUACAACCUCUUUUUGUAGUCAUGUGUCAUCACUAUGAUGAUUCUUAGAAUUAUUAGAGAAAUAGGUUGGUCCAUCUAAUUAUAUAAUAACCUUUUUAUAAUACUAACCAUAAAUCCAUUAUUAAUGUUUUUUUUAUUAUUUCCUUAAAUAAAAGUUACGGAAUUGCCUAAUGUGGCUAAAGUAUAUAUGAAAAUUAAUAAUUUUGAAUAAUAAAGAUUUAAAAAAUUAGUCUAUCUUCUAUCAUAUUUGUUUAAUUUUAAAUUAUUAAAUAAAUUAAACAAUCACAUUAACCAUAUAAUAAAACUUAGAUUUUUUCUGUAUAUGUUAUGUUUUGAAUUUUUUUGAAACGACUAUAAAUUAUUAAAUCAUUUCACAUUCAAAUUUUGUGAUACAUGGUUUAAAAUUUUGUUAUGACAAAAUAUAAAUGAUUACAAAAUAAUAUAAAUAAAAAGUCUAAUUUAAUUAAUUAUCAAGAUUAGAUAUAUAUAUCGUUUUAAAUUAAAUUAUAUACCAUAUAAAAUACAUAAAUAUUUUAAUUUCGAUAUUUACUUUGAACAAUUUUUUUUUUGAUAAAAGCUUUGAUCAAAAAUUGACAACUUAUUUAAAAAAUAUAUAUAAAUUACUAAAACUAUUAAUCUGAAUUUUUUUGUUAUUAGUAAUUUAAAGUUUUUGCUAUAAACGAUACAAAUGAUAAAAAAACAAAUGAGUAGAAAGCAAUAUUUAAUAGACAUUAAUAUUAAAAAUAUAUUAUGUAUGUUAAUAUCAUUUAAAUUUAAUUAUAUAUCCUAUCAAAUAAAAAACAAUUAUUGUUUGGAUUAAUAAAAUGAAUUUAUAUGUUCGCACCAAUUUUAUUAUAUAUGUAUUAGUUACUGACUUUUAAUUAUUCAAUAUAUAUUUAUUAGUUCAUAAUAUGUAAAAACAUAAAAUAAUUUAUAUAAAUAUAUUGUUUAUCCCGCGCAAGGCGCUAGUUUUAAUCUAGCGUUAUACUAAUCAUAAAAAAAAAUCUAUUCAUAAAAAAUAAAAUUAACAGCCGGACAGGCGUACAAGUCAAGGGAAAACGGCUAAUUAAUGUCUGCACCAAUAGUUCUUGGAAGAUUCAUACCUAUACUUUAUCAGCGUGCUAAAACAAGCCUACACUCCUAAGCAAUUUGAAAUACGUACCUGAAGAACAAUGUCAAUGGCUAAUUCAUGCUUUGACCAAAUUGGUGUCUAAAUCUCCGUUAACGGAUCUGAGUCAUCACCGUUCUGUCCAAAAAUUGAAACGGACCUGUUCAAAAAAGUCCGACGUCGUUCUCUCUUUUCUUUUCUUUUUGGAAAAGGGCUUCGCCGUUCUCUUUUUUCCUGCAAUUAUCUUCUUCUUUUCUUCUUACUUCGUCUCUUCUCUCUGGUCUCUGCAAUUCUCUUCUUUCUCUGAACUUCUUUUCUUUUUCUCUGCAAUUUCUCUUUUUCUCUGCAAUUCUUUUCUUUUUCUCUGCAAUUCUCUUCUUGGUUGAUUUAUAUAGGUCACUUUUAUGAGUUUAAAAGCAUAAAGAAUCAUAUAAAAGUAGGAAUAACUGAAACCUUUUCAGAUAACAUACUAAGAGUAUCAAAGAACACCAACGAUUACCUAAAGGAACAAAACAUAACUACUUCAGCAGCAAAACAUAGAUGUUUUAAGAAACAAGGAAAUAACACAAAAGCAAUACAUUCGUACAAGUUUCUGGUCUUCUAAACAUCAAAGCUUCGUACACGUCAACAUCAUACAACUUCAAAGCUUUCAAAUUUGCUUUAUAAUCAGCUUCAUUCUGGCUCUCUACCACACUCCAAAACAGCUUCUUCAUUUCAGGUUUAUUGGGAUACAGCUUCCUCAAGUUCCCCUAGAUAUGCCUAGCACACAUUCGGUACUCUACAAGGGGUAACACUUCAUCAACAGCUAUAAGUAAUCCCUAAUGCCAAGCAAUAAAGCUAUUAGAAACCAGCAAAACAAUUCUUCAUAGGAUUUCACCUUCAUCUACUUCGACUCCACACUUUACCUCAGAUUUCACUCCUUCCCAUCUAGUAAGCUGGAUAUUCCACCCGCCUUUCAAAGCAUACUCUAAUACCGCUUCUCAGAACUCUUUCACACUCUCAAAGACUUGCUUCUCUUCCACCUAUCAUAAGGCAUUGGUUAUUGAUCUUCUUCAGAGUCAGAACAUGGGGGUGUAUCCCUAUAAUUUUCAUUCUCUUCAUCAUCACCAAACACACCCACCACUGCUUCCACUCUACCAUCCUCUUUGCACUCAUUCUCACCAUCACUCAGACCUCCUUCACACUCAUUCUGACCUCCGUGUGUAUCACCAGCACCAUAUACAGCACCAUCAUUUUGACCACCAUGACUAUGAUCUUCAUUCAUUGCCUCAUCUAUGUCACUGAAAUUGAACAAAGUUUGCAACACAUUAAUCAUCGACUCACAACAAAAAACCCCGAAAUUUGAACUUAGAUAAGACCGACUUCGAUGAUUAGCUAAGAAAUCCUAAAAUUAGAACUGUUACUAAAACUAAAUUGAAGAACUCACUUUUUUAAGAACCCUAAACACCGAUGAACUCAGAUUACUUACAUCAUGUUUUGAUUGGAAAUGAAGGACCCAGUCUUAUGUUUCACAACAAACCAAGCGCUUGAUUUUGUAGAGACCAGAGAGAAGAGAUGAACUAAGAGGAAGAAUAGUCGGAACGAGAAAGAAGAGAAUUUACAGGAAAAAAAAACGAAGUCGGACCUAUUUUUUUUAACAGGACCAGUUUCAAUUUUUGGACAGAAUGGUAAUAACUCAGCAGCUGACUCAGAUCCGUUAACGGGGAUGUAGACACCGUUUAGUCAAAGCAUGAAUUAACCAUUAACUUUGUUCUUCAGGUACGUAUUUCAAAUUGUUUAGGAGUAUAUGCUUGUUUUUCCAAAAACUAUUGGUGCAAGCAUGAAUUAGCCUUUGAUGGAGAGAAGAAACGCAAACGAANNNNNNNNNNNNNNNNNNNNNNNNNNNNNNNNNNNNNNNNNNNNNNNAUCAAAAGAAGACUUAGAAAAUAAGAUGUCUGAAUUGCGAUGUAUUGUUAUUUAGUUAUAGUUCAAGUGUUUUACAAAUUAAGGUUUUUUAUUACUAUAAAAUUAUGGUAAUAGUUAUUAACACAAAUUUAACUUAUAUAACAAAUAGAUUUUCAUGUAUUGUUAUAAAAUAGAUACAUAUUUACAUGUUUCUACUUUUAAUCGGUUUUGUUCGGUUUAUUCGGUUUAAUCGGUUAUAUACCAAACCAUAUCCAAAUCCUACGGUUUUUAUAAAAUUAUAUCCAUUCGGUUUAUAUGGUAUAUACCAAAACCAAACCAUAUUGUCUAUUUCGGUUCGGUUCGGUUCGGUACGGUUCGGUUUUACCAUAUUGAACAGGCCUACCUACAAGUCAGUCUCUAGUUCCGGUUUAAAAAAGAGAACAAAAAAAAAAAAAAAUCAACCUCUCAGAUAGUUAAGAAGAUUAUCCGCCUUAAUACCUGAAUCAAUGCUAACAAGAAACAGACCAAUAAUACUCAAUCACGCGGAUCGCCACGUAGGAUUAAUAUUUCCCUCAAUCAAAUCUGGACCGUCGAAUCGCACGUCUUCCACUUCUCCUUAAUUAAUCUCAUCGCUAUAAAUUCUUAAUCUUCAUUCACCUUUUUCUCCUUAAACGAAACAUUCGAUUCAUUCUCUCUCUGAUUCAAAGCUCUUCGUUGAGAGAAGAAGCCAUGGCUCGUACGAAGCAGACUGCUAGGAAAUCCACCGGAGGAAAAGCUCCCAGGAAGCAACUCGCCACCAAGGUUUGUUCUUCUUAUAUUCUCAAUUACGAAGAAAAGGGGAUCUAGGGUUUCGAAUUCGCCUGGAAUUUCGAUUCUAACGUAAUUGCGAUUACAGGCGGCGAGGAAAUCGGCGCCGACCACGGGAGGAGUCAAGAAGCCUCACCGUUACCGUCCCGGAACCGUCGCUCUCCGGUAAUUUCGCAAAUCUUUUUCACGGAAAAGUUCCGUCUCCGUUCCGUUAGUUAACGGUGUUUGUUUUUUGUUUCUUUUUAAUGAAUCAGUGAGAUUCGUAAGUACCAGAAGAGCACUGAGUUGUUGAUCCGUAAGCUUCCGUUUCAGCGUCUCGUUCGUGAGAUCGCCCAGGAUUUCAAGGUAGUUUCUUUGAUCUUGUCACUGAUUAUUAUGCUGAACAAGUAAUGAUUUUGAGAUCUUAAUCUGUUUCUUGUGCUGUAGACAGACCUGAGGUUCCAGAGCCACGCAGUGUUGGCGCUUCAGGAAGCUGCGGAGGCUUAUCUGGUGGGUUUGUUCGAAGACACGAAUCUCUGUGCCAUUCACGCCAAGAGAGUCACCAUCAUGCCUAAAGAUAUUCAAUUGGCUAGGCGUAUUCGUGGAGAGCGUGCUUAGAAGAAUCACAUCUCUCAUCUAGUACUUUUGAUUUCUUUCUGUUUGUUUGUUUGUUUUAAGCAUAAUGCUUUGGUGUUAUAAACCUCUCUUUGAGGCUUAAGAACAUAGAUGGAUUGAGUAAUUGAUGUUAUGACACACUCUAUUUGUUAACUCUUGUUUCUCUCUCUAUGUUGAGUUUAUUGUGCGACACCACUAUUCCAAAGUAGAACAAACUCAUCAUUUUGUCAAUAUGGUUAGUCUUUAGAAUCACAGAUAUACUAUUCGUUAGUCAUAUCAUAUGUAGUUCAGGAAGCGUUUUACAAGCGCUUGUGUGUGAAUUUUAAGUUCAAACUCAUAAAGCAUGCACAAGAGCUAACUGAAUUGUUGGCUGUCAUUUAACACAUAUAAACUACCACAAAGUUCUGUUCUUGAUUGGAGUAUUAGCACAAGGAAAGUAAUAUUGAACUUCUUAUCAAAACGAAAUUUGGCAGCCAUUACAUUCAAAAAAAUGAAAUUUGGCAGCCAGGAGAACAUAGAUUCAUGAUGAGAACUUUGAAUAGCUUGAUUAAUAUUUUGGACCUCGAGUAAUCACUCAUUGGGCUGUGUGGUUUUUAUGUUUAAGCCCAUAUUAGAUAGUGUAUCUGGUUUGUAAGAAAAUGGUAUCGAUUACUAUCAUCAAAAUAUCAAAAGGUAUAUAUUUUUUUUUUUUUUGUCGAUGGUUAACUAUGCUAUUACAAACUAUGAGAAAUAUUACAAGACGAUUCUACAGCCGAAAAUUCUACCUGCCUUAUGAAGAUUCACGUUUGACUGCAUCAUCCUCAACCGUCCUAUGAGAUCCAUGUCUGACGGUACUCCUAUAUGUUUUUUCUCCAUAAAUCUGCAUAAUUCGCCUUUGUUAGGAUUCGAAACUCAGACCUCCUGGUGUAGAAGCAUUAAUGAACUCUUAGUUAAACCACCGGACUAAUGAGGUUUCCACAAAUAUCAAAAGGUUAUCUUCAACAUUUUUUUCCCUAGUUAGCAAAAAAAAAAAAAACAUUUUUUCCCUUAAUGAUUUUUCUCAUCUCAGAUUCUUCCUCUAUCCCUCCCCCCUUAUUAUUACGUCACAAAUUCGAUGAGCUCACACCAGAGCUUAUCAAACUUUUUACUUCAAAUGCAAGUGGUGGAGGUUGGUUGCAAAUUUGCGUACAAGUAGUCAAACAAGAGAGUGACACAAGUGGAGACGUGCAACAGUGCCGUGCGACAGUAGUAAAAAUAGAAACCUUCGCUUAUGGCAGAAAAAAAGAAAAAAAGAUCAAGGGCAUCAUCUACUAGUAUCAUAGGCAUAAUGUAACCAUAAUAACUUGAGUUUAUACGAUGAAAGCACUAUAAUAGUUUGGAUUAAAAAAAACGUGAGCUUAUGAUAUAUUAACGAUUACAUGCAUGGGUUUCCUAAGUAACAAACCAUGUAAACAAUUGUUAAAAAAAAAUAGAAUAAUUAGAUAUUGGUGAUUAUAGUUCUGAUAGAAUUUUUAAAAUAAGUAGUUUUUUUCUUGGUCUUUUUGGACUCUCUCUAUUUCUGGUCUUUGAAAAUCUUUCUACACUUGUUCACGACUUUCUAUUUAUGGAAUCUUUUAACUAAAAAUCACGUUUUUCUUAUAAGUAUUCCCACAAAAUAUCCGCAAGGAAGGAACAAGUUUAGCAUCUAUCUCUUGCCCACGACAUCAAAAUUCCAUUUGCUAUAAUAAAAAUAACAAAAUUUAAAGAUUCGUUUCAUUUACUCAUGAAACUUUCACAUACCAAUAAAGUAUCAAAUAUGAAAACAUUACCAACUCAGAGACGAAAGAAUCCCAUUCAUGUAAUUGUAUCCAAACAACAAUCUUAUUACAUACAUUCCCGCGAAAUAAAUUUUGAUCACUCAAAUCAAAAAGAAUUCAACAGAUUUUUUAAAAUAAAAAAUUACCACACACGUAGAACAAACUAUAAUAACAUUGACAAACACAUUCACUGCAACCUUACCCAAAUACCUUCACUCGGUAUAUCUUGGUUCACAACAAAAGCCAUGUAAUAACCAGGUGGUGCAAUGUUCUUAUAUCUUGGUGCCUUAACCCUAACCUCAUAAGUCCACACUCCUAUCCUCACUAACUCAACAUGAUCAAGAACCAAAAGUCUCUGACUCAUCGAGAAGGAAUGAGAAGUAAACGAAGGAAACACCAUCGUCACCUUAACCGGACUUCGCACUCCUCCUAUACCGAACACCAUAAACCUCAGCCUCAAGAUUCCACCGUAGUUAACGGUAGAGUGUGAUAAAAGACUAAUAAUCCUCGGACGUAUACUCCAAUACUGAGAUUCCAAAUACGACGGAGAGAAAGCUUCUAGCCUAAGCUCCGUCGGGAAAAGAACGUCGGUGAAAUUAUAAAACUGAUGUGGGUUGCUUCCUCCGACAAGAACUCUACCGUCACGGAGCAAACCGGCGGUUGAAUGGUACAUUCUUGGUAUAGUACUAGGAUUCUGAACUUGGAAUCUCGAACCGACCAGUUUAUUGGGAUGAUAAAGGUCAGGGUUCAAAACCGGUUCACGACCUAGCUCCCAACCAGCAGAGCCUGAUGAGCCACCGUUAAUUAACAGAACAUGUCCGUUAGGUAAAAGGAUCAUAUCUCCCAUUACUCUCGACCUAGGCAUCUUCUCGAGAACCCAUUGAGGUUUAUCAUCAUUGAUCUUGAUUCUUGCACACGUGUCAAGAGCUUUGACAAAAGUGUUUUUAUAUAAAGCGAGGAGGUACGAUCUUUUCGGUGCACCGCCGCACACCAGAACUUCCAUCUCGACAACCUCAGCUUCAAGGUUCUUGAUGGGGAGAAGAACAGCUGAACCAGUGCUCGGAUAGCUUCUCGGAUCGCCUCCAGGGAUCUUCGGAUACGUUUUCACGACAGUGUUCUUAUUAUAGUCUAGCAAAAUGGCUUUGUUGUUAGCGAAUAUGAAUAAGUUUCCGUCGCUGUUGAGGAAAAUGAAAGGGUAGAGAUUGUUUUCUUGUCCCACAUCGUAGGUUUCGGACAAGAACGGUAACUUGUAGAGACUUGGAGCUUUUGUCUUAGGGAAGAACUCGAAGUUGAACUGGUUUCGACCUCCUACUAUGAUCUGACGACCAUCUGGAAGAACAUGAUUCGUAGCGUACCAUCUUCUUACGUUAAGUGCGUUAUCAACUUCUGUCCAAUCACAUGACUCGUCGUCGCAAGGAUAGAACAUUCUAGCUUUACGUUCCCCUUCUUUGUCUCCUCCCGUCUGGAGGAGAGCUCCCUCGGGAGUGACUCCUCCUGAGGAGCACCAUGUGUUUGAUUCAAUGGUUAAAGGACGGAUGCUGUUAAAAGCGACGUCGUAUUCGAUGGAGUGCGCCGAGCAGUCACGUUUGGAAACGACGUCGUUUGGGCUGUCGCGGCAGGCUCCGCUAGGGAGAGAGAUUUUUGAAGGACCGAAGUUGGAACGAUCGUACAUUAUGACCCGGUCGUUGAUGAGGAGUUGUGAGUGCAUUGCUGAGAUUCCGACCUCGUUUAAGAGAAGCUUCCAUGUUCCUCCGGCGCCGGAUGCUACGUUGAAGGAGAGGAGGAGGAGGAUAGAGAAGUAAUUGAGUUUGUUGACGUGGGUGACGAUUUGAGGUUUGGCUUCUGCUGCCAUUUUUGUUUUGGUUGUAAUAUUGAGUUUAUGUCACGGGUGGUUCGGUUUUAUAUAUUUAUUUCUAGCUUGUGUGGUACAAUAUUAAACGAUCCAUGAGGUGUAGUUUGUAGAAGCAUGGAAGAAAAAGAUCAAUAUUAAUGCCAUGACGUAAAUAAUGCAUACUAAUUAGUAACUCCCGCCAUUAUUCCAAAAUAAUUAUGCCAAAUUUACUUCAAAAUUUAAUUAUUAUGACAGCUUUCGUUUCCCAUUUUGAAGACUGAAAACUUAACAAAUCUAAAAUUUCGAUGAUAUAAACCUGAAAUUCUGCCACAUUGUUGAAUUUUUGUAUGACAUAAAUUUCUGUGUUUUUCAAAAUUUCAAAAUUAAUCUUAGUUGACUAACAUUAAUAAAAACGUGUCAACUUAACGUGUCAAAUCUUCAUCUGUACAUAAAUAAAAAUAUGUUGGAAAAUCUGAGAACAACAUUAAAAUUAAUAUGGAAUUAUAUGAUUUGUAUAUAAAAUAGAAAACUAGGUGUUUCUCUCGCUGCGGACAUAAACAUUUUAUAGUUACUUAUAAAUACAUACAUUAAUAAUUAAAAGACUAUAAUGAUAAAACAUUAUUUAUAUUUUCAUUUGAAAAUUUUUACGUCUUCUAAAUUUAUUGAAUUUUUUUACACUAUAUUCAUUAUUAAUAAAUAAAUCUAAGAAGUCACUCAAUAUUCUAUUUUCAACUAUAUAAAAUUUAGAAUUUUAUUUGAUUAAUAUUAUAGACAUGUUUUUUUUUUACUUUUUAUUAAAAUAUAUUUUUUCAGAUAACAACACAAUAUAUAUAGAAAUUAUAUAUUUUUUGUUUUAAAAUAUUUUUUAGAUUUUGGAUAAUUCUUCUUAUUAUUAAUUUUAAUCACUUAUUUAAUCAAAAUAAUUUAAAUUCGUAUUUUGUUUUGUAUCUAAUUUAUAUAUUUUAUUCAUUAAGAGUAUAACAAUAUUAACCACUUUAAGUUUUAACGUUAGAGCUCGAACGCAAAAAAUCACUUCUCAAAUAAUAGUAUAGAUAACCAAUAUCAUUUAUUUUAAAAUAUGUAAAUGUAAAAUUAGAAUAUAUCAGAAUAAAUAAAAGGACUCCAAGUCCCACAUUAGAUAUUAGAUAAAAUAAAAUCUAAUAUAUAUAUAUAUGGGAAAUUGCCAAAAAUACCAUUUUCAUGAUACCACUUUUCAAAUUUACACUAACCAAUUUUACCAUUAAAAUUUUAAUAGAAAAAUAACCAUUAUGUCCCUAUUUAAUUAAACCUACAAUUAUAUCUAAACCAACUAUAUCUUCUUCCUAGAUGUGAGAAUCCGGCGAGCUCCGACAAAGACGACGAUCGGAUAUGUGAGAUGUCGGCGAUUGAUUUUGUGAUGAAAGCGAGGACACUGGUAUGAGCCAAGUGAGGCAUCUGCGCCACGAUUGCGAUAGAGUGGUUCGAAGAGAAAAAUGAAUUGGAUCUGGCCGGACAGAUAUUUGAUGAAGGUGACGGUUUCUCCGACGAAACUGACAAAUUCUACAAGCUCAGACGAACAAGACGAUCUCUGUGAUGAACACGCGUAAGAAACACUAACGAAGGUGAUUUGAUAAUAGAUGGUGAUUUUCGUCUUUUUCUUUAUUUUAGCUUGAUUUCUCAAAAUUGAUCAGUUUCUGGGAAAGGAGACGAAGUUUUUUUCAUGAAGUUAUGAAAUCUCAAAUUUAUAAAACCUUAUAAAUUUAUCGGUGAAGAACAUAGUGCUUAUAUAUUAUGGUUUUUGAUAUAUUUUGUUGAUCCUUUCUACUUUGAGUAUUUUUAUGUUGAAUAUACUUUUUUCCUUCUCUGAUCCAUACAUUCUUAUAAUCAGGUUAUGAUUAUCGACAUAUGUUCUGUAUGUGGAGAAUGGAACCUAAUACAUGGAAGUCAUUCAUAAUUGAUGAUACACGAAGAUCUCUUCUUGGUAUCAUUUGUGAAGAUAUCUGCUACAAAAAUUUGAUUGAGGUUGUUUUAGAAGAAGUAACAUCAUCUUUUAACAAACUUCAAGAGAAUGAAUGAUUUCUUCAUCUAUGUGUAACCAUUAAGGUAAUCAUACGGAACUCUUUGCUAACAUUUUUGUUUAUAAAGGCUUAUUAAUUAAUUUUACCAUACGUAUUAGCUUCAUGUUUUUAUGUUGUAGAGAGGAACAUAUACAUUUCCUCUUAUUGAAUCAAGCAAGGUAGUAACUAGUACUCAUGAUUUGCUUGCUGAAAGUAGUAAUGCCCUUGAGAUGUUUAUAAAACCUUAUAAAAUAACUGUGUAUAUGGAGGAUCAUUACUGCAAGUAUUUUGUAACUGUAACAAGGAUACAUAUCUGUUUGAUGCCAAAAGUUUCAACAUUAAUUGUUCUUAAUGGAUGAUAUUAUGUGAUAGGUAGCCCUCAUGAAGCUGAACGUGUCUAGAUGGAGAUGGAAAAUAUAGAAGUUAAGCAUGGUGUAGUGUCUUAUUCUAGCCUGAUAUCUUGCUAUUCAAAAGAAGGUAACUUGAAUAAGGUGCUUUAACUUCUCUACCGGAUGAAAAAGAAGUGUAUAGAGCCAGAUAGAAAAGCGUACAAUGUGGUGCGAACACGCGUAAGAAACACUAACGAAGGUGAUUUGAUAAUAGAUGGUGAUUUUCGUCUUUUUCUUUAUUUUAGCUUGAUUUCUCAAAAUUGAUCAGUUUCUGGGAAAGGAGACGAAGUUUUUUUCAUGAAGUUAUGAAAUCUCAAAUUUAUAAAACCUUAUAAAUUUAUCGGUGAAGAACAUAGUGCUUAUAUAUUAUGGUUUUUGAUAUAUUUUGUUGAUCCUUUCUACUUUGAGUAUUUUUAUGUUGAAUAUACUUUUUUCCUUCUCUGAUCCAUACAUUCUUAUAAUCAGGUUAUGAUUAUCGACAUAUGUUCUGUAUGUGGAGAAUGGAACCUAAUACAUGGAAGUCAUUCAUAAUUGAUGAUACACGAAGAUCUCUUCUUGGUAUCAUUUGUGAAGAUAUCUGCUACAAAAAUUUGAUUGAGGUUGUUUUAGAAGAAGUAACAUCAUCUUUUAACAAACUUCAAGAGAAUGAAUGAUUUCUUCAUCUAUGUGUAACCAUUAAAGUAAUCAUACGGAACUCUUUGCUAACAUUUUUGUUUAUAAAGGCUUAUUAAUUAAUUUUACCAUACGUAUUAGCUUCAUGUUUUUAUGUUGUAGAGAGGAACAUAUACAUUUCCUCUUAUUGAAUCAAGCAAGGUAGUAACUAGUACUCAUGAUUUGCUUGCUGAAAGUAGUAAUGCCCUUGAGAUGUUUAUAAAACCUUAUAAAAUAACUGUGUAUAUGGAGGAUCAUUACUGCAAGUAUUUUGUAACUGUAACAAGGAUACAUAUCUGUUUGAUGCCAAAAGUUUCAACAUUAAUUGUUCUUAAUGGAUGAUAUUAUGUGAUAGGUAGCCCUCAUGAAGCUGAACGUGUCUAGAUGGAGAUGGAAAAUAUAGAAGUUAAGCAUGGUGUAGUGUCUUAUUCUAGCCUGAUAUCUUGCUAUUCAAAAGAAGGUAACUUGAAUAAGGUGCUUUAACUUCUCUACCGGAUGAAAAAGAAGUGUAUAGAGCCAGAUAGAAAAGCGUACAAUGUGGUGGUUCACACUCUUGCCAAAGAUAGGUCUGUCUCUCACUUUGAGGUGAUGAAUUUGAUUAAGGAAAAGGAAGAGUAGGAAGGGAUGAAACCACACAUUUUAGCUUACAACUCUCUCAUCAAACCCGAUGCAUGGAUAAAAGAACAAAAGAGGCAAAGAACGGAGUUUUCCCAAUGAUACACACAUACCAUGCCUUUAUGCGGAUUCUAAGAACAAGAGAAGAUACCUUUAAACGAUAUGCCGAGAUGAGAUAUGGGUUGGGAAUCAACUAUGGAUUGAUGGAUAAGUUUUAUAGGUGGAUCGAUAUGGAUAACGUACCUUAUUUGCUUUUUGGAUAACAGAGGGAUAACACAGGGAUGAAAAUGACAAGUCUAAAUUAACCUUAUUUGUUUUUUGGAUAACAGAGGGAUAAAAAUCCUAAAAUUAUUUGAACCCAGAUUUAUAAAGGGUUAUAAUUUUUCGUAAACUCAAUAUUCACUAUCGAAACUCUUUCCCAUAUAUCAACAUGUUCUAAGCCAACCUUUGUUGAUUUUUUUUUUAAUAACAGAAAGAACAAAUUGUUUUAUAAGCCUUUCUAAAUGGUUAUAGAUUCUUAUGAAUAAUUUAGGGACAUUAUAGAGGCAUGAAGAAAUUUAUUACAUACCCUUUAUAAAAGGUUUAUAAACUCUUCAUAAUAAUUAAUAAGCCAUUAUAAAUGGUUUCUAAACUUUAUAAAAACUUUUAUGAACUUUAUAAAUGUUUUAUAAACCCUUAUAAAUUAUUUACAUAGUUUUAUAAACCUUAUAAAUUAUUUUACAAACCUUAUAAAUUGUCUUAUAAGCGUUUCUAAAUGGUUAUAGACUCUUAUAAAUGAUUUAAAGACCUUCUAACUGAUUUCUUUUAUAAACAUUUAUAAACGGUUUAUAGACUUUAUAAACUCCUUUAUAAGCCUUUAUAAAUACAUUUAUAAAUAAUUUACAAACUUUAUAAAAUGUUUUUUUUAUAAACUUUACAAAAGGUUUAUAAACUCUUAUUAACUCUUAUUGAUUAUUUACAUAUUCUUGUAAACCCUUAUAAAUUAUGUUACAAACUCUUAUAAAUUGUUUUAUAAGCCUUUCUAAAUGGUUAUAGAUUAUUAUGAAUGAUUUAGGGACUUUAUAAUUGAUUCGUAAACCUGUAUAAACCUUAUAAAUUGUUUAUUAACUUUAAUGUUUUCAUAAACAUUUAUAAAUAGUUUAUUAACUUUAACGUUUUCAUAAACAUUUAUAAAUUGUUUAUAGACUUUAAAAUUUCUUUUAUAAGUCUUUAUAAAUUGUUUAUAAAAUUAUCUAGAACCUAAUCAGACAACAUUCGCCCUUUAGUUGCAACAUAGACUAGAAGAAUACAAAUUGUGUAGAGAUACUGACUCAGCAAAAACAAAAUUAGAGGGCAGGUUGGAUUAUAUCCUUUGAAGGAAAUUUAAUAUGGCCACAGAGACGCAAGCAAGCUCCUGUGUGGAAUAGAGACUUCUCAAAGUCCCAUAUGUCACGUACAAGCACCUGCAGAAGCAACAAAUUUGUAACUCACUUGCAGUUCUUAAAAAAAAAACUCAAUUCUACGAGAAAAACUAUGCUCUGCCGUUCAAUGUCGAAAGACUAGAUUAUACUUGAGAGUUUAAAAAAUGAUUACUAUUGAAAGAAACGCAGACAUGUUGACUCUUGGCAUUAGAAACAACAUUUCUCAAAACAUAUAAGUAAUAAAGGUAAGUAUAAUGCCAAAGUUACUUUGCAAACACGAGAUUUUCUCAUGAAGUGCAUAAGGUUCGUAAACAAAUCCAUGGCUUACCCGCAACACUCUAACAGCACCCUGCACUUAUAAAUAGUUGAUGUGAGACAUCAAAUCAUAGGAAACAACUGACAUAUGAGACAAAAAUGCAAGAAAGAGCAACAGAAACUGAGUUAUUUAACACACCGUUUUCUGCAGCUGAGGUGGAGCCUUCACUUGCGUUGUAGCAUACCUUUUAUCACUGCUAAAGGGACAGACUCUGCAAUCUAAGACACAAGAAGAAACUAAAAGAAAUGUCAAUGAUUGGUCAAUAAGACUUAAGAAAAAACCAAAGCCAAUGAUGAAUUUGGUGAUUACUAUUGUAGAUGAAAGCAAAUGUGUGAGGGCAGGGUUGUGGCUCUCAUAUAAGCUUGAACAUACCCUUCUUUCAUGAGUGUCGGAAACUGAACAUGUCAAUUACAUUACUAAAUAACUUAGAUUUAUACAGGGUUAUAAAUAUUCAAAAACUCAAUGUUCACUAUCGGAAAUCUUUCUCUUAGAUCUGACUAUUAAUAGAUAACUCUUUCUCUUAGAUCGAAACAACAAAAUCCGAGAAAAUUACUUACAAGUUGUGAUUCUUGCUGAGGAUUCUACAUUUUGAGGUUUUGAUUCUCGAUCUCGUAUGCUUCGUGGAUUUGGACGGAGACAUCGACGGCGGAUCUGGACGGAGACGUCGACGGCGGAACUAAACGGAGACGUCGAAGGCGGGUCUGGACGUCGACGGUGGAUCUGGACGACGGUUAGCGAGAGAGAGAGAGAGAGAGAGAGAGAGAGAGAGAGAGAGAGAGAGAGAGAGAGAGAGAGAGAGAGAGAGAGAGAGAGAGAGAGAGAGAGAGAGAGAGAGAGAGAGAGAGAGAGAGAGAGCGAGAGGGAGAGGGAGAGGGAGAGGGAGAGGGAGAGGGAGAGGGAGAGGGAGAGGGAGAGGGAGAGGGAGAGGGAGAGGGAGAGGGAGAGGGAGAGGGAGAGGGAGAGGGAGAGGGAGAGGGAGAGGGAGAGAGAGAAGAUAAGUUAAGGGCAGUAUUAUCUUUUACACAUUAAUAAAUGUGGUAUUUUUGAAAAUGUCAUUUUAUUGAUGGUAAAGUUGAAUAGUGGUAUCAAGAAAAGUGUAUAAGUAAAAUUCCCCUAUAUAUAUAUAUAUAAAUAUCUGGUCAAAUCCCAAUUAGUAAUGAGGUUUUUUGGGAAUAACGACCUAAUAACAAAUUCGUGAAGGUUUAGAUCCAAAACGGACAAUAUCAUACUAAACGAGGAGUUAGACAUCUGGUGACGUACAUUUGGCUCUAUUUUAGCGUCUGGCUUCUAGCACGGACAUCCGAUCUAGCUCCGAUAUAACAUCUAGCCCAUAAGUACAUCUGGUCUGUUACAACAGAAUAGUUGGAUUUGCAUGAGACAAGUUUAUCCCAAAAUUGUAAAAAGGCUUCUCCUGUGACUUAAACUUCAUUUAACAUUAUUCAACUAUAUAUGAAGUCACAUAAAAUUCCACAUUCAAAACAACAAUUCCAAUGCAUAACUUACCACUUAGAUGAUCGUAUUCACAUCGCAUAAAUCUUAACAUAUAGUAUAUUAGUUUAGACUGAUUCCACUACAUCAUCAAUAACAUCAUGCUAUCUAGGAUACCAUCUUAAUCAAAUUAAAUUAUAAUUACCAAGACAUAGUACCAACCUGCUAGGUGCCGUUAUAUGAUGUUUAUUGUCGUCGAUCGAAGGAACAAUGUCUAUUGUUGGUUAUGAGUUACUAGAUGAUUUUUAUGUCCUCAUGCACAAAUACAAAUAUCAAUAAAAUAAAUAGUAUUAUGUUAUUUUAAUUUGACAUAUGAUUUUAGAUAUAUAGUGUUUAAUCGGUUUAAUUAUUUUUUGAGUAUAUUAUAUUGCAUCUGCUUUUUGGUGUUAUUACUAUAAUUAUUCUUAUAAUUAGAUUUUUAAUUUUGGGUGUAAAAUAUUGGAUUGAUCCAUUUAUUCAUUUAUCGAUAUAUUGAGUUAGAUAUAUUUCUUUAAUUUGAAAUACAUCUAUAUUUUGUUUUAAUUAAACAAAAUAAGAUCAGUUUUAUUUCAAUGCACGAGUCUGGUUCUUCAUCUACGAUGUGUAAAUAUAUUUUCAUUUUUGUUUGUACAUUUGAUGUUGUUUUAAAAAAAAAACAAUAAGAAAAAAAUUAAAAUGAUGAUCUAUACGAAGUCGCAUAAAAUAACAUAACUUAUAUACUUUUAUAAGUUAAUGAAUGAAUUUCAAUAUUUACAAUAUAAUUAAAUAUUUUUUGAAUUUUUAGUAAUUUAUAUUUUCAAUGUAUAAAAAAUAUAUUGAAUACUAUAUCAAUAAUUUUAAACAUAACUAUUCAGAUUAGUUUGGGUUUUAUUAUUAAGGAUUGGGUGGUACAGAUAUAAACCAAAACUUAAAAUAAAACUAAAUAUCAAGCAAAAGGAAUUUUUGAUAAUGGUAAAAUAUAAUAUCUAUAGUUCGCUAAAAUAUAUUGAUUUAUAAUAUUUGAUAAUAAUUCUGUAAUUAUUUGAUUAAAAUAGGUUUAUAAUAAGAAAAAUUAGUUUCAUUUAUUAAUGUGAUUGGUUGUCAGCUUUAGAGUGCAAUUGAAAAGCACAAUUGGCAAGAAAAAAAUAGAGUAAAAGAUAUUUAUGCCGCGUUACGCCAGUUUUGUCCAAUCAGGUAAAACAUGUUUUCACUUUAUUUACGCUAAAAGAAAGUAAAAGUAGAGUAAUUAAUUACUUUACAUUAACUAGGAGGAAAAUUUUAGGUUUUUUUUUUCAUAUUCCACUUUUUUCACUUUUUACUCCAUUAAAUACCAGUUACACCCUUAGAGUAAAAAUUAAAAGUGAAAAAAAUAUUUAAUUUCUCAAUCGAGUAAAAACACGUUUCUUUCUAUUUCCUCAUAUUACUAAUCAAACAGAGGUAAAUGUUGACACAUGUUUACUCUCAUAUACAUAACAGUAAACACAUCAUUUGUAUACUAAAUCACAAGUCACAUGAUGAAUCAAAUUCUGACACAUGGCUUGUGAUUAAUAUAAUUUUAAAAUAAACAUUAAAAUGCAUCAUUAAUAUAGUUAAAAUUCUCUCGGAUGAAAAAUAAAAUUGCUCUUAACCGUUCCUCAAAUUUUUUUUUUUUGACGACAAACACCAUGUUUUAUUAAUUCAAGACGAAACGGUUAGCAUGUGGCGCUAACCAUGUCGGAAUCAAAGAGUUUACAUGGGAGAAAAUAGAGUUUUGGAGACGAGCUCCUUUGGCAAGGAGAUCAACUAUUACAUUGCGAUUACGAGGUAUAAAGGAAAUAGAAAAUUCAUGAAACUCAGAUACCAAAAAGGAGAAUUCAUUCCAUUCUGAAGCCAAACUUGGCCAAUCUUCUUCUUCAUUUAUCAGCCUCACAAGCUCUAGGCAAUCCGAUUUGAAAGACAUUGAAGUGUAGCCUAAUUGCAAAGAAUAUUUCAUUGCGCAAAGCAAGAUGUUAAACUCUGCAUGAUGUGGGGAUGAGACCUGUUGCAUCCCAAGAGAACCAUAGGUAUGGGAACCUGGUUCGAAAUAAAAAACAAAGCCGCCACCAAAGACGUUUGAAUUCGUCACCCAGGAUGCAUCCACUUGGCAUCGAGGGAAUGGUGAUUCAUUCUGAACGUCUGCAUUUGCAAAUUUUGUCAGCGCUUUAGGUGAUGAUAUAAUUUGCGCCACUCGCCAUUCUUCUUCUUCUCGAAUAGCGUGGUUAACCGUAUCCAGCGGUAGGAUUUCCUUACCAUUAAAAAUCUUUUCAUUCCAUGCUUUCCAGAUGAACCACGCGAUCCAUGGAAAGCAAGCCAGUGCAGUGGUAGGAGUACCCAGGUUUUUUGCCUUCAGGAGUAAGUAGUCAAAGUUUUCCACCAGCGAACCACUCGGGAAAGAACCUGGAGACGACGGUAUUCCCGAUAGAGCCCAGGUCUGGAGGGCAGGUGGGCAUAGAAAUAAGCAGUGAUUAAUUGUUUCCUCCUCAAAUCCACAUCUUGGGCAGGUACGAUCCGUCCCGCAAUGCCUAUCAACAAGUCGACUACAGCUCGCUAAACACUCUGUUAGAGCUAGCCAUAGGAAAUACUUCCAUAUCAUUGCCUUGAGGGCCGUCGUGCUUGGCUCUGUGACCUGUUGUUCUGUUUCUUCUUCUUUUAAUUGUGAAGCAAGGUCGUACCCGGACUUAACCGUGUAAAGCCCUGACUUCGUAUAGGUCCAGCAGAAACCGUCUUUUUUGCCAAUAUAACUGGGGCGUAAACUCCGUAUUAACGGGAUGUCUCCUGGGUCUAUCAGCGCUUCCAGGAGGUCCGAUCUCCAUUGUUUCGAAUUCUCAUCAAUGAGAUAACUAACACGGAGGUCCUGGUCGCGAUAGAAUCCGGCGUCCAUAGCUGCUCGUGCCGGUGACGUCGAGAUCCAUGGGUCUAGCCACACGCGUGUAUCUUGUCCUGUUCCUAUCAUCUUUCGCAACCCUUCCCGCAGAAGGUCUUGAGCUGCUAGAAUACUUCCCCAUCCGUAGGAUGGGGAGUUUGACGAUUUAACUUCCAUAGGACUAGUAUGCCGGAAGUAUCUUCCUUUCAGGACUCGGGCAAGGAGAGAGUUGGGAUUGUGUAGUAGCCUCCACUGUUGCUUGGCUAGUAAGGCCAGAUUAAAGUCAUGCAGGUCUCUGAAACCUAGACCCCCUUUAUCGAAAGACAAGCAUAUUUUCUCCCAGGCUAUCCAAUGCAGACCUUUAUUGUUUGCUUUCGUGCUCCACCAAAACUUUGCUAUUGCAGCUUGAAGCUUAUUUAUAAUCUCCUUUGGUAGGAGGAAACAUGACAUUACAUAGGUGGGAAGGGCUUGAGCGACUGAUUUUAGAAGAACCUCUUUGCCUCCUUUUGAUAAAAGUCUUGCCGACCAAGAAUUGAUCCGGUCAUUAAGUCGCUUCCUAAUGAAGGCAAAGACCUGUCGUUUAGAUCCACAGAUUUUUUCAGGUAGACCAAGGUACAUUCUCAUACCGCCUUCCUUUUGGAUACCCAGCGUUUGCUUGAGCGCUUUUUUUUAUCUCAUGGUCGACUUUACUACCACACAAGAUAGAUGAUUUCCCGGGAUUUAAUUGCUGUCCCGAAGCCUUCCCAUACACUGUUAUAAUCCACAUCAAAUCAACACAUUUCUGGACAUCAGCUUUGCAGAAAAAUAGGCUAUUGUAUGCAAAGAGGAGAUGUGAAACAGCAGGACUUGCCCUCGCGAUUUUUAGGCCAGUUAUCCUACCUUCAUCCUCUGCCCCUUUCAACUGUGAGAUCAGAGCUUCAGUCAACAGAAUAAACAGAAAGGGUGAUAGCAGGUCUCCCUGACGUAAACCUCGAGAUGGUUGAAUAUUUCCUUUUGGUUCCCCAUUUAACAGAAUUUGAUAUGUAACCGAGGAGAUACACCAUCGAAUCCAGGAUACCCAUCUCUCCGAGAAGCCCAAUUUUAAUAACAGUGCCUCAAGGAAAUUCCAUUCGACCCGAUCGUAAGCUUUGCUCAUAUCCGUCUUGAUCACAACAAAUUUUGCCUUACACAUAGGAUUGGUACGCAGGGCAUGGAAGGCUUCCUGCGCCAGCAGAAUAUUAUCUCGUAUGAGUCGUUUCGCCGCAAAGGCGGAUUGAGUCUCCAAGAUUAACUUCGGGAGUAGUUUCUUCAGGCGGGAACAUAAGAUUUUUGAAAUGAUCUUAUAGCUAACAUUGCAGAGACUAAUAGGCCAGAACUCCGUCAUAUCUCGCGGCCUUUCUGUCUUGGGAAUCAGACAAAUAUUUUUUUGGUUUAGCCGUGGAUCAAAAUCACUUGUCUCAAAGAAAUUCCUAACCAUCGCUAUUAUCUCUUUUGCUGUAACCUCCCAAAAGCUAUGAUAGAAGAGGCUUGUCAUACCGUCCGGGCCAGGUGCCUUAUCGGGAUUGAUAUUGUCGAUGGCCUUCCUGAUUUCUUCAUCGGUUGGUAUUCACGUCAAGGUCUCAUUCAUGGUUGGAGUAACUUUCACGGAAAUAAACCGGAGAGCUUCCUCAAAAUCUCAUGUCUCUGAUGUGGUAAAGAGAUUUUGAAAAUACUCAAAAGCAACUUUUUCAAUGUUUUCUUCGCUUUCAGCUCAUCCUCCGCCUGGUUUUUUCAGUUUUGUGAUCCGAUUACGAGCUCGUCUCUGUUUAGUAAUGGCGUGGAAGAAUUUUGUAUUUCUAUCUCCAUAUUUUAGCCACAAAGCCCGACUCUUCUGCCUCCAAUAUAGUUCCUCUUCCCGAAAGGCUGUGCAUAGGUUCCACUUAAGGUUUAGGAGCUCUUCACUCAUGACGGAAUCAUCGGUAUGGGCUUUCUCGAGUUGCUCCUUAAUGGUUUCAAUCUUCUUCUGCGUAUUGGAGGGGUUCGAUUUUUUCCAUCUUGAGAUCGCACGGCGAACAUCGCAUAAUUUAAUAUGGAGCGUGCGAUUUCCAUUAGUUUCUUCUGGUCCCCAUCCCUCUUCGAUUGCUUCCUUUAGACCUUUCUUAUCUAGCCAUCGUCUAUCAAACUUGAAACUUCUCUGGAGUCUGACAGAUCGAGAUUGAAUCCUUGUAAGAACAGGCCGGUGGUCAGAACCCCAUAGCUUUAGGUACUCCACAUUGGUGUGGGUGAAGAUGUGGUGCCCAUCUUUGUUGCCUAUAGUACGGUCCAAGCGGCAUUGAACUUUGCCGGAUCUGCGGUAGCCCAUCCAUGUCAUGGGGUUACCCUUGUACGGGAACUCAAUCAUUCCACAAUCAGCUAGCAUGGAUUUAAAGGCAAGGAAACAAGUCUCAGGUCUUUUUCUUCCUCCUCUCUUCUCAUGGUUCCCGGUAAUCUCGUUGAAGUCGCCACUCAUUCGGGUCAAUCUUUCCCAUACGUAGUCUCGGCACUCCACGACCGGAUCACCAUAAACAAAAGUCAUAAAAACUUUGUGUCCCUCUAUAGUAGCUGAAAUAUCAAUCAUACGAUUAUAGAAAUAGAGAAUAGACACAUCAUAAGAAUCCAUAUAAAAAGUGCUAGUCCACCGCUUCUACCUUCCUGUUCCACGGUGAACAAUUUAUUAUAACCAAACGAAAAUUGAAAGUCUUGCAGAAAAGAACGAGUGUUUUUUGUUUCAGAAAGAAAAAGAAAAGAAGGUGCAAAAAAAAACUCCGUCAUAUCUCGCGGCCUUUCUGUCUUGGGAAUCAGACAAAUAUUUUUUUGGUUUAGCCGUGGAUCAAAAUCACUUGUCUCAAAGAAAUUCCUAACCAUCGCUAUUAUCUCUUUUGCUGUAACCUCCCAAAAGCUAUGAUAGAAGAGGCUUGUCAUACCGUCCGGGCCAGGUGCCUUAUCGGGAUUGAUAUUGUCGAUGGCCUUCCUGAUUUCUUCAUCGGUUGGUAUUCACGUCAAGGUCUCAUUCAUGGUUGGAGUAACUUUCACGGAAAUAAACCGGAGAGCUUCCUCAAAAUCUCAUGUCUCUGAUGUGGUAAAGAGAUUUUGAAAAUACUCAAAAGCAACUUUUUCAAUGUUUUCUUCGCUUUCAGCUCAUCCUCCGCCUGGUUUUUUCAGUUUUGUGAUCCGAUUACGAGCUCGUCUCUGUUUAGUAAUGGCGUGGAAGAAUUUUGUAUUUCUAUCUCCAUAUUUUAGCCACAAAGCCCGACUCUUCUGCCUCCAAUAUAGUUCCUCUUCCCGAAAGGCUGUGCAUAGGUUCCACUUAAGGUUUAGGAGCUCUUCACUCAUGACGGAAUCAUCGGUAUGGGCUUUCUCGAGUUGCUCCUUAAUGGUUUCAAUCUUCUUCUGCGUAUUGGAGGGGUUCGAUUUUUUCCAUCUUGAGAUCGCACGGCGAACAUCGCAUAAUUUAAUAUGGAGCGUGCGAUUUCCAUUAGUUUCUUCUGGUCCCCAUCCCUCUUCGAUUGCUUCCUUUAGACCUUUCUUAUCUAGCCAUCGUCUAUCAAACUUGAAACUUCUCUGGAGUCUGACAGAUCGAGAUUGAAUCCUUGUAAGAACAGGCCGGUGGUCAGAACCCCAUAGCUUUAGGUACUCCACAUUGGUGUGGGUGAAGAUGUGGUGCCCAUCUUUGUUGCCUAUAGUACGGUCCAAGCGGCAUUGAACUUUGCCGGAUCUGCGGUAGCCCAUCCAUGUCAUGGGGUUACCCUUGUACGGGAACUCAAUCAUUCCACAAUCAGCUAGCAUGGAUUUAAAGGCAAGGAAACAAGUCUCAGGUCUUUUUCUUCCUCCUCUCUUCUCAUGGUUCCCGGUAAUCUCGUUGAAGUCGCCACUCAUUCGGGUCAAUCUUUCCCAUACGUAGUCUCGGCACUCCACGACCGGAUCACCAUAAACAAAAGUCAUAAAAACUUUGUGUCCCUCUAUAGUAGCUGAAAUAUCAAUCAUACGAUUAUAGAAAUAGAGAAUAGACACAUCAUAAGAAUCCAUAUAAAAAGUGCUAGUCCACCGCUUCUACCUUCCUGUUCCACGGUGAACAAUUUAUUAUAACCAAACGAAAAUUGAAAGUCUUGCAGAAAAGAACGAGUGUUUUUUGUUUCAGAAAGAAAAAGAAAAGAAGGUGCAAAAAAACGAUGUAACUCCCGGAGAUGUUGCUUGGUCAAAUAGGCUCCGGCCCCUUGACAGUUCCAUGAAAUUGUAUUCGUAUCUUCUUACUGGGUGGUUUCUGGGACCCCACCGAACCUGAAACAAAAGACAUCGUACUUUUAGCAGAUGUAAACACCUCAUGACGAGGGACAGCAUGAGAGUUAGAUUUCCUUAAAUUACCCGAGCCUCUCUUUCUCGGAGAUGGACGUCCUCUUAGCGCAUUCAGCUUCUUGGAAGCUUGAGCUCCCUUCAAUUCCAUGCUUUGGAUAGUUUUCUUUUUUUCUUUUGUGCCACCCAUCUUACCUUGACUCGUUCCUAUUGGCAGGGUCCUCGAUAAGACAACGCUCUUGUUUUUAGUUUGUUACGUCUUGGUGGGCUGCGGUGCUUUAGCCGCUUCUGAAGUUACACUGUUAUCAUUGUUCACAUCAUUUGCUAGAGAGAGUUGUGAGAUAGCAAUUAUCUCUGCAUCAUAACCAGGUUCAUCAACCAGAAGAUCAUCGUUUUGGACCAUUGUCUCAUCCAUUACUGCAUCACCAAACUCCUCCGCUAGCUUAUCGACUUCAGCCUCCUCUUCUCUAGUCAGAACCAUAUCAUCAAUGUGGCUCGAUUUCAUCAGGGUCACUAGGUCUAGGCAAGGUUCCUCGGGUUCAUCCCUAAGUCUGAGCGGGGAGGAUACAAACCUGGGAGCAAUUGGAGUCAAGUGGGUCCUUUCUUUCCUGAAUACAACAGUACCUAUGUCCCUGGUUAGCAUCGUCUGAGGGGGUAGGAGAAUUGGCAGUUGGUUCUUCCUGUAUGGUUGCUUUUCCUUUGAGACAUCUUCGUCUUUCUUCGGUGGUUUCGUUUUUAUGUACCACCAGAACUCCAGUACCUUGCCACCCAUGCUACUACGCUCAUGUAAUCCACCUGAUAUGGUUUGUUGCGAAUCUGCUUUCUUAGGGGUAUGGGUUCUUUGAUGCUUCGGAUUUGUAACAGUUCUGGAGGGGCUAGAGCUUUUUCCUUCAUUCACCUCAGCCCGCGGUCUCCUGACUUGAUGAGAGGCCUGUGAUUUGUGAGAAUAGUGUCGCUCCUUCCAGCUAUAAGGCUCACUUCCUCUCUCUUGAUCCAUCGAGCCUUGCCUCAGUCGAGAGUUAUAGGCCUCUGCCGUUUUUCUAUCUUUACCAUCAACUCGACCCUCUAGCCGGUUCCACACGGUAGAAUUUUGGUUGUACCGUGGAAUUCGCACCUCCCUCUCCUCUCUUCUACGCUCCAUCGUCUUUGAAGGGCCAUCACAGUUCGCGAAGGCUUUUGAAGUCCAAUAGUUGUCUGAUUCCUUUUGUCGCUUACCAUCUCUGGAUUGACCAGGAAAACCCCCCCUCUUUGGGGAACGCUGAUUGGCUUCACAGUUUGGGGACCGUGGUCUCUUGUUACUUGGUGCACUGCCCUUGUAGUCCCCCCCCCCCGGUCCAGCCAGAGCUUGGUACGUGUGGGCUUGAGAGGCCGAUGCGUUGAGCUCCCGAAAUUCUUUUAUCUUUUUCUCACGCUCCUCCUAAGCCAGAUCCAAACAAGAGUAAAUAUCAUGGGAGAUACGUUUACAUCCAUAGCAGUGACGGUUGAGGCCUUCGUAUGCAUGUAUACUUUUCCGAAAUCUCCAUUGGGAAAUUCCACUUUUGCCUCCAUCUUUAGAGGUUGAUCUGCAUCAAUAGCGACUUGGAUACGAGCGUUCUUUGCAUCAAUAUCCACCUUCUUGCCCAGUGCUUUUGCAAUUGCAUUGAAGGUAUCAUCAUUCCAGAAGUGCACUGGUACACCCGUGAUCUUGAUCCAAAAAGGGAUCGUGUUGGGGAAGUUUUCGCUUGUUGAUGGUUCCCAUCGUUCCAGAGCAAAGAUCCAAUGAUUAAAGUGACAAGGCCUCUUAUUCAGCACCAUGACGAGAUCUUCCUCCUUAUCAAAAUCAAAGCGGAACCGGCCGUUACCCAGAUUCACCCCGCGUGCUCUCCCUUCCACGUUCCAGAUACGAGCUCUCGGAAGGAGGGCAAUCAUCGCUUCAACACUUCUUCCUCCUCUGUGAAAGACUCUACCAAUAAGUGUUCUCUUGAAACGUUCAAACGCCUCAGACAGAUCACAUGCUGGGAUGCAGAUAAUCUCAUCCUUUGCUGCCAGAUCCAGAUUACGCCGUGCUGAGGAAGGGUUGCCUCCUUGACGGAUUAGGUUUGACUGUGAAAUCAUCGUCCGGAAUAGGAUAAUCACACAAAACUUAGCACAGAGCUAGAAUAUCAAAGAGAAACCUUUAGGCUUUCGUAAUGGAAUAAGUAUGCUUUUUGGAAAAAGAGCGAAAUAACGUAGUAAACAACUAGAUCGGAUUGUUUUAAAGCCGUUAUAACCCUACAAGGCCUAAACAAGAAGUGUGGAGUAGUCUUCCUUGCGUAGGAGGUAAGGUUACAAUGAUAUUGUCGUCGAGCGCCGUCAGAGAUUUUGGAUCUGAUAAUCGCCUAGCACAUCUCCCAAAACCCUAGUCAUCUUUUAACUAAGACUAUUCAACCGUUCCUCAAUUAAAGCCACUAUCUCCACCACUUUGCACGUAAAUCAAUUCUUUUUUUUCUUGUGCACGAACUGUAGAACAUUUAACCAAAUAUUUUUUACAAGCCUAUCUUCUUUUCUUACGGGUUUCUUCAUAUCUUUUUCUGCAUUAAUUUCAAACUUUUAUCAUUCAUCACCUGGAUUACUUUGUUACUUUGUAUGAUGGGUUUCUUCUCACUAAAUUCAUAACGAGUUCAUAUGAAACUUAUGCUUCAAAAUCUGAGUAAACAAAACCUUAAAAGCAUUAAUUAGUCUUGGUAUUGCUCAGUUUAUAAAACUAUUUUAGUUUGCUGUAGGCGUGCAUGAGAAAUCAAAACUACAAGAAAGGAGAAGAAGAUAUGAGCAAAUAAAGAAAAGUUUGGAUGAUAUAUGUUGUAAGUAAAAAGUUGGUGAAGGUUGAAGACGAAUGGAAUAUACAGAGUUCAGAACGUUUGAUCAUUCAUAAUUCAGAUAAACAAUAAUUUUGUUUACUUUUUAAUUUUUACAAUUUUUAAAACUAAAUUUCUAAUCAUUUUCUGUAAUUAAUUUUGAACUUUUUCAAGUUAUCUUUUACAAAUUUCCUGGAUUGUUUUAGUAACUAUUGAAAACAUAAAAUAAUUAAUAUUUUCCUGGGUAAUUGUGUUUUUAUAUAGGAAAUAUAUAAAAUUAAUUAUUUUUUAAAUAUGUGUGCACAAACCCAAAAUGAUACUUAAAUUGAAACAUAUGGAGUAAAUGAAAAAACAGUUUUCGUUUUAAUAAAACAAGCUAAAAACUCAGUUCACCCCAUCGCCCCCCAAAAAAUGAUGAAGAAAUCACAUUUCAGAUGUUAAAUCACAUUUCCAAAUUAAUCAUGUAUAAAUGUGUGUUGAUGGUUUGUUUUGGUAUAUUCAUCUCCCACUGAUAAAUCAAAGUUACAUUAUAUAUGUAAUUUUAGUUAUAUAUAAUUGAAAUUUGGUUUUCUUUGUAACAAAAAAAAUAUUCCCAUGCUUAGCAUGGGGUCCAUACUAGUUUACUCUAUUUUACUCUUCUUUCCAUUUCUAUUUCUACUCUUAUUUUCACCUAACUUUCUUCUCAUUUACCCUUCAUUAUCCAAUCACACUCAAAGUAUGGCUGGAAGAUAUGAUUAGAGUAGCAAAAUUUAGAGUAAAAUAGUUUACUGUCAGUUUCACUCAAAUACAACUAAUCACGAUAAAAUAGCUGAAUUUUGAUUUCAGUUAAAAUUCUGUUAAAAUUUGGUUCAAUCGGAUUAAUUUCGGUUUGUUCAGUUUGAAAUUUUGGUUGAUUCCGUUAGCUCAUUUUGAAAUUUAGUUAACAAUUUUUUGUUUGAAAAAUCGAAUAACCUAUCACCGGAUCGAACCGAAUCAAAACCGAUUUUUCAUAAACAUGCCGAACUGAACCAAACUCAUUACCGAACUAACCAAAAUUUCAGUUCAGAGAGUUCAAUUCGGUUAUAAAUCGCAUGCCUACUUACUUUAACAUACAAGAAAAUAUUACUCACCAAAAGCUGCACAAAGAGAACAAUAGCAGCGAAGAGAAGGGUAAUACUAUUUACUUUUACCUUUUUUAUGUAUGUAAGUGUAGUGUGUGACAAAUUAAGCUUAAGAUGAACUAGGAGUGGAUAUUUGGAUUUAGUUCAGAUAUAUUUAAAAUUUUGAAAUUCAGGACAUUUAUAAAUUUUAGUUCGGGUUUGGUUAGGGUUUGGAUAACCCGUUUAAAUUAUUUGUAAAAUUUAAUAUUCAUAUAUACUUUAAAUUUUUCAAAAUCUAAAAAUAAAAUAAUAUAUAACUUAGAAAUUUGAAUAAUAUAUGCCAAAAUACCUAAACUUAACUUAAAAAUUAGCUUGAAUAUUUAAAUGGGAAAUUAAUAGAUAUAUGUAUAAUAUUUGGUGUUUUGAGUAUUGUUUAGCUAUUUUAUAUAUUUACUUUUGAGUAUAUGUAUAUAUUUUCAAGUAUUUUGGAAAAUUUUAAAAUAUCAAAUAUAUUUUGAUAUUUUAAGAUAUUAACUCGUAAAUAAUUAAUAUAAGUAUACAUUUAGAUACCAAAAAUAUUUCGGAUCGGAUUCUGUUUCGGUUCUUUAUAUACCAAAGUUUUAAACCCGUUCAAGUGUUUAACUAGUUUUGGUUUGCAUUUAGUAUUACUUUUUCGGAUUAAAUUCGGUUCUUUGGAUUUAACUUUUUUGUCCAGCGUAAAUCUCCAUUUAUGCGGACAUGAUGGUUAGUUUAGUCUUUUACUUUUAUCAUACAAUAAAAGUUUUAACCCAACAAAGGAAACACAUACUGACAACUAGGUAACUGGAGACAUUCACUAUAAUCUAUCCUUUUAAGGACAGGGAUGGACAUUGCUACUUUGAUGUUUGUUCUUGUGCUGCUUUUGAUGAAGCCAGCUACGAAUCUGAUGAAGAUAUUCGCAUACGUCGAAGAAAGAAGAAAGAUCCGCUCUACAAAAGAUAUCUCGAAGAAGCUGGAUGCCUUAAUGCAACCUAAGCGAGUGGUUCGCCUAGAGGUCAAGACUGAAGAAGAUAAGAGCACCUCCUAGACGUUUUCAAAAUAGGGUAUAAAAUUUAAUAUAGUUAGAUAAUUAACUUUUGGUUUUUUUUUUUCAAAAUAUAUCGGCAUUGAUGGUUCAUAAUAGUUGAUCCACAAAAUACAUAGCUUUGUUUUUUUUUUUAAUAUAAAUUUUCUUGACACUGGUUGAAUGGUUCGUAUAUAGUGAGGUUCCCCAAACUGUUCCGCGAUAAGCUUUUUAUUUCUUGAUUAGCCUUUCGUGACUGUCUCUACACGGUGAUAUGGAGCAGGAACUGGAGAGUGAUUCAUCACUUUCUAUUCUGCAAAGAGUUUAAUGAGACCAGAGAUCACCUAUGUUUUACUUGUCCCUACUCUUAUUCAAUUUGGACUAUUCUCUCUUCAAACCUUCUCUAUUCCAUGAUUAAUACGGACUGGCAUAACGUCGAGAUCCAUAUCUAUCUCUAGCCAUCUAAGUGCUUUGGCAAUCACUUUUUUUUUUUUUUGUUCAACUGGCAAUCACUUCAAGCUUCAGUUGGUGACCUCUCGCUGGAUCACUCAGCUUCGGGAUGAUAAAAAAAAAAAAGAGUUAUGAAACUGAAGAAACCUGAGAGUGUUUUACAACAACUACUUACAUUUUCUUCAUGAGUCCCUGGUAGACUUGGAGCUCCAGCUUUUCCAAGACACCGGACCUCAAGAACCUGAUUGAUAUCAAGUUGUUCAGUGAUCUAAUAAUCCAAAUUAAACAAUCUUAUAUAUGAUUGACUAACAAGAGCAUCUCUACUCUCAUUUAACCUGUUAGCUCUAUAACUAACCAGCCACUGCUGAGCUGUGAACACAGCUACAAUACACUAGAAGCCACCUACGCUAAUCACAAUGCUCUUACACUAGUCUAACACAAGGAUGUAGAUAAGUACAGUAAGAGGUCAACAGAAAGACAUACCGAUCUUCUUGUUCUUGAAGAGCUAUGUUGACGAAGCCUGAGAUCACCCUUUCUCGGAGCUUGCACAACAUUCAUGUACUGGACACAUAGCGAAGUUGGAUUAAGAGAUAUCAAUUUGAUGUAUAAUUGAAGAGACUAUUACAAAACAAAAGGAAUAGUUGUUACCUCAUGAAGAUUAUACUUUGGCAGCAGUUUAUCGUUUGGUAAGAUUCCUAAAGAAAGUUUCACUGGUAUUAAAUACUUCAAUAUCAUCCUGAAUAUAAUAAGCCAAUUAUCCUCAUAAAGCAAUGAAACGCAUAAAGGUUAAUCACUAAUCAGAGAGUAAACCACAAAAUGAACCACAGAAAAUCUAUCAGUGACUCACCAGCAGGAAAAUUCUCGUUGAAGACUUCAAAUCUUCCAGUAUGACACAUGUAUGUAACCUGCAUAGUUUGUGAAUUAUAUAAAAAAAAAACACAAAAUAAAUGUAUAAUGAAAAUCCGGAGGCCAGAAACUAAAACUGCACAGGACAUUGUCUCUUCUCGCAAACUCCAUAUCCGAGCAGUAUCAAUAUACUCAAGGAAGAUUCAGUCCUAUCCAAGUAGACACAUGAACUCAAAUUUUAUCACAUGGUUUCAAGCCCUAAUCUAGAACUUAUUAACCAAAACAGAGAAAUUUAAGCACCUGGAAGAGAAAGAGAGGAGGCGACAAAGCAUAGAAGAGUCUUCGUAUGAAACGGCGUCGCAGAAGCGGUUUAGAUACUCAGUGAUUCGCCACCCAUACAUCUCUGCGUCGAUUACCGUGGAAAAAGAACCGGUUCGGUUUAGGUUGGUUUUAUAAGAACGGUAGACCGGUUCGAUUACGAAAAUUAAAUCGACUCAUAUUUUUAAAACAUAACCGUCGGGAGAAACGCGUGUUGUCAAACGCUUGAUCGAUUCGAGACCGACUCAAAAAUUAGAGAGAGAGAGAGAGAGAGAGAGAGAGAGAGAGAGAGAGAGAUUAAAUUAUCUCCCAAAACAAAAAUAGUUUUCGUUUNNNNNNNNNNNNNNNNNNNNNNNNNNNNNNNNNNNNNNNNNNNNNNNNNNNNNNNNNNNNNNNNNNNNNNNNNNNNNNNNNNNNNNNNNNNNNNNNNNNNNNNNNNNNNNNNNNNNNNNNNNNNNNNNNNNNNNNNNNNNNNNNNNNNNNNNNNNNNNNNNNNNNNNNNNNNNNNNNNNNNNNNNNNNNNNNNNNNNNNNNNNNNNNNNNNNNNNNNNNNNNNNNNNNNNNNNNNNNNNNNNNNNNNNNNNNNNNNNNNNNNNNNNNNNNNNNNNNNNNNNNNNNNNNNNNNNNNNNNNNNNNNNNNNNNNNNNNNNNNNNNNNNNNNNNNNNNNNNNNNNNNNNNNNNNNNNNNNNNNNNNNNNNNNNNNNNNNNNNNNNNNNNNNNNNNNNNNNNNNNNNNNNNNNNNNNNNNNNNNNNNNNNNNNNNNNNNNNNNNNNNNNNNNNNNNNNNNNNNNNNNNNNNNNNNNNNNNNNNNNNNNNNNNNNNNNNNNNNNNNNNNNNNNNNNNNNNNNNNNNNNNNNNNNNNNNNNNNNNNNNNNNNNNNNNNNNNNNNNNNNNNNNNNNNNNNNNNNNNNNNNNNNNNNNNNNNNNNNNNNNNNNNNNNNNNNNNNNNNNNNNNNNNNNNNNNNNNNNNNNNNNNNNNNNNNNNNNNNNNNNNNNNNNNNNNNNNNNNNNNNNNNNNNNNNNNNNNNNNNNNNNNNNNNNNNNNNNNNNNNNNNNNNNNNNNNNNNNNNNNNNNNNNNNNNNNNNNNNNNNNNNNNNNNNNNNNNNNNNNNNNNNNNNNNNNNNNNNNNNNNNNNNNNNNNNNNNNNNNNNNNNNNNNNNNNNNNNNNNNNNNNNNNNNNNNNNNNNNNNNNNNNNNNNNNNNNNNNNNNNNNNNNNNNNNNNNNNNNNNNNNNNNNNNNNNNNNNNNNNNNNNNNNNNNNNNNNNNNNNNNNNNNNNNNNNNNNNNNNNNNNNNNNNNNNNNNNNNNNNNNNNNNNNNNNNNNNNNNNNNNNNNNNNNNNNNNNNNNNNNNNNNNNNNNNNNNNNNNNNNNNNNNNNNNNNNNNNNNNNNNNNNNNNNNNNNNNNNNNNNNNNNNNNNNNNNNNNNNNNNNNNNNNNNNNNNNNNNNNNNNNNNNNNNNNNNNNNNNNNNNNNNNNNNNNNNNNNNNNNNNNNNNNNNNNNNNNNNNNNNNNNNNNNNNNNNNNNNNNNNNNNNNNNNNNNNNNNNNNNNNNNNNNNNNNNNNNNNNNNNNNNNNNNNNNNNNNNNNNNNNNNNNNNNNNNNNNNNNNNNNNNNNNNNNNNNNNNNNNNNNNNNNNNNNNNNNNNNNNNNNNNNNNNNNNNNNNNNNNNNNNNNNNNNNNNNNNNNNNNNNNNNNNNNNNNNNNNNNNNNNNNNNNNNNNNNNNNNNNNNNNNNNNNNNNNNNNNNNNNNNNNNNNNNNNNNNNNNNNNNNNNNNNNNNNNNNNNNNNNNNNNNNNNNNNNNNNNNNNNNNNNNNNNNNNNNNNNNNNNNNNNNNNNNNNNNNNNNNNNNNNNNNNNNNNNNNNNNNNNNNNNNNNNNNNNNNNNNNNNNNNNNNNNNNNNNNNNNNNNNNNNNNNNNNNNNNNNNNNNNNNNNNNNNNNNNNNNNNNNNNNNNNNNNNNNNNNNNNNNNNNNNNNNNNNNNNNNNNNNNNNNNNNNNNNNNNNNNNNNNNNNNNNNNNNNNNNNNNNNNNNNNNNNNNNNNNNNNNNNNNNNNNNNNNNNNNNNNNNNNNNNNNNNNNNNNNNNNNNNNNNNNNNNNNNNNNNNNNNNNNNNNNNNNNNNNNNNNNNNNNNNNNNNNNNNNNNNNNNNNNNNNNNNNNNNNUCCUAUGAGAUUUAGUCAACCUCCUGGUGAUUCUCCACCACUUUAUGUAUCCAAAUCAAGUUUCUCACAAAGAGAUUCAUCAUGGUUUGAUAGGAACGACGAAGAAGCUGUCCUAUUCCCAAACUAGGAAACUGGCAAUCACUUCAAGCUUCAGUUGGUGACCUCUCGCUGGAUCACUCAGCUUCGGGAUGAUAAAAAAAAAAAAGAGUUAUGAAACUGAAGAAACCUGAGAGUGUUUUACAACAACUACUUACAUUUUCUUCAUGAGUCCCUGGUAGACUUGGAGCUCCAGCUUUUCCAAGACACCGGACCUCAAGAACCUGAUUGAUAUCAAGUUGUUCAGUGAUCUAAUAAUCCAAAUUAAACAAUCUUAUAUAUGAUUGACUAACAAGAGCAUCUCUACUCUCAUUUAACCUGUUAGCUCUAUAACUAACCAGCCACUGCUGAGCUGUGAACACAGCUACAAUACACUAGAAGCCACCUACGCUAAUCACAAUGCUCUUACACUAGUCUAACACAAGGAUGUAGAUAAGUACAGUAAGAGGUCAACAGAAAGACAUACCGAUCUUCUUGUUCUUGAAGAGCUAUGUUGACGAAGCCUGAGAUCACCCUUUCUCGGAGCUUGCACAACAUUCAUGUACUGGACACAUAGCGAAGUUGGAUUAAGAGAUAUCAAUUUGAUGUAUAAUUGAAGAGACUAUUACAAAACAAAAGGAAUAGUUGUUACCUCAUGAAGAUUAUACUUUGGCAGCAGUUUAUCGUUUGGUAAGAUUCCUAAAGAAAGUUUCACUGGUAUUAAAUACUUCAAUAUCAUCCUGAAUAUAAUAAGCCAAUUAUCCUCAUAAAGCAAUGAAACGCAUAAAGGUUAAUCACUAAUCAGAGAGUAAACCACAAAAUGAACCACAGAAAAUCUAUCAGUGACUCACCAGCAGGAAAAUUCUCGUUGAAGACUUCAAAUCUUCCAGUAUGACACAUGUAUGUAACCUGCAUAGUUUGUGAAUUAUAUAAAAAAAAAACACAAAAUAAAUGUAUAAUGAAAAUCCGGAGGCCAGAAACUAAAACUGCACAGGACAUUGUCUCUUCUCGCAAACUCCAUAUCCGAGCAGUAUCAAUAUACUCAAGGAAGAUUCAGUCCUAUCCAAGUAGACACAUGAACUCAAAUUUUAUCACAUGGUUUCAAGCCCUAAUCUAGAACUUAUUAACCAAAACAGAGAAAUUUAAGCACCUGGAAGAGAAAGAGAGGAGGCGACAAAGCAUAGAAGAGUCUUCGUAUGAAACGGCGUCGCAGAAGCGGUUUAGAUACUCAGUGAUUCGCCACCCAUACAUCUCUGCGUCGAUUACCGUGGAAAAAGAACCGGUUCGGUUUAGGUUGGUUUUAUAAGAACGGUAGACCGGUUCGAUUACGAAAAUUAAAUCGACUCAUAUUUUUAAAACAUAACCGUCGGGAGAAACGCGUGUUGUCAAACGCUUGAUCGAUUCGAGACCGACUCAAGAAUUAGAGAGAGAGAGAGAGAGAGAGAGAGAGAGAGAGAGAGAGAGAGAGAGAGAGAGAGAGAGAGAGAGAGAGAGAGAGAGAGAGAGAGAGAGAGAGAGAGAGAGAGAGAGAGAGAGAGAGAGAGAGAGAGAGAGAUUAAAUUAUCUCCCAAAUCAAAACUAGUUUUCGUAUUUUCUCUCUUCUUAUAUCGAUCCAGAUUAGUAAUAAGUGUUUUGAUCUCUUUCUGCAAAUCGUGAAUUCGCAUCAAAUCUCUCAUGGCAAUUUUAUUGAUGUUGAUCAGAAGUUCCUUUUCUCGUUCGCCAGGAACCGAUCCGACUCUCGCUCGUCGUCGAGGUACAUCUCUGUAUGUUUUAGGGUUUCCAAAAUUGUUCAAAUCCACUGAAACCAAACGAUGUAUGCCUCUCUAUGUUAGGGUUUCGUGUAACUCCUGUACCAAACGCUGUCGUUUUUUUCAGUUCUGAUCAUAUUUGUUUUCAUCUUUGCGACACUAGUAUUUACUGUUAGUAGCUUCUUUUAUACUCACUUCUUUGGAGUUUUAUAACAGAAACAGAGAAUAAGAAGAAGAAGAAGAAGAAGAAGACUUUAAACAAGAUUCAAGUGAUGAAGCUUUUGGUGGAUGACAAGCAGUCUGAGUUAGAGCGAGCAGAUGACAGAACAUUACCUCAAAAGCAACCUGUGAGGGGGGUAUAUAUUUCUAAUGCCUCACGUAGCAUUUUACAUACGAGUUUUAUAACAUAAAUGUUCCUGAAGAUUUUAGCUUCUUUUUUUUUUGCAGUGAUCUUUGUUUCUCCGCUUCACACCGUCUCUCUAAGGUAGAUUCUCUCUAUGUCGUUAGAGUUUCCCGUUUUAUUUUGAAGCGCUUUAAAGCUUUUUGUUUUCUUAUGGUUUUAUCAGAACCAUGAGCUUAGGUAGACGUUCUUCUCAUGUUCUACCACAUCUUGUUUGGGAACAUUGUUUUUGUUUUUGUUUUUGUUUUUCAAACCACCCCCCCCCCCCCCCAAAAAAAAGAUAGUGUUCUGAUUGAUUCUUAUUUGGGAACAUUGUUUUGUUUUGGUUUUGUUUUGUUUUUAUUUUUCAAACCCCAAAAAAGAUCAUAGACAGACACUAAUCUAAUUGUGUUCUGUUAGAUUCUUAUUUGGAAACAUUGUCCCUUGCUGCCUCUAGAAGAAACUUAUGCCAUCCCCUAUAGCAAGAUUGUAAUUGGACCGAGAAUAUGGGUUGGUAGUGCAUGUAUGUAUAAAGAAGGAUGUUAGGGGAUGGCAAAUAAAAUGCACGCUGCAUUGUCCUCGUAGAUGAUCAUUGGCUCUUCUUUUGUCCCACGGACAUACCACUCUCUUUUAAGACAUGGCCGGUCAUGUUCCUCAACCAGACAAGUUCACGGCUUGCCUCAUACAUGGCUAUGAUCUCGGCGUGGUUGGAUGAUGUAGAACCUAAGGACAAAAGACUUUUACUACCCACGGCUUGACAAGAAUCUGUUUUCAGUUAUUUGAAUGGUACAGUUUGAGAAAGUCUUAAGACAAAGACUAUAACUGAAAACAGAUUACUUACCCACCGCUUACAAAGAUUUCUUACCCACGGCUUAACGAGAAUCUGUUUUCAUUUAUUUGAAUGGUACGGCUUGAGAAAGUCUUAAGACAGAGACUAUAGCUGAAAACAGAUUCCUUACCCACGGCUUACCAAUGUCUUGACAAAGACAAAGAAAAUGUGGGAGGGUUAAGACUUGUCGGAUUGGAAUAAACGAUCGACACAACUUACAAGUCUUAAAGACAAAAGACUUUUACUACCCACGGCUUGACCAGAAUCUGUUUUCAGUUAUUUGAAUGGUUACGGUUUGAGAAAGUCUGAAGACAUUUGCUAAAAAAAAAGAAGUGUAAAGACAAAGUGCUGUGAACAAGAGAUGAAAUCGUGUUCUGUGUCUGUAUUAUUUCUGAAUCAAAGUGUUCCCUUAUAUAUAGGAUACAAGGGAUAGAUAAAAGGAAAGUAUCCAAAUCAUAAACCUAGAGUAAAAAGGAAAACCUCCUAAUGGAUAAACAUGAAAGAUAAAUGGAAACUCUAAACAAGGGAGGCGGCCGACUCUCUCUCCUUUGGGCCGCGGUCUCUCUCUCUAUGGGCCACGGUUUUGGCCUUUGGCUUCUAGCAAUCCACAUUGUUCAUAACACUCCCACUUGGAUGCUAGAACCAUAUGGGCUCGUAUCAUGCACGAUGUUGCCUCGUUAAAACCUCUCUAGGAAAACCAAAAACCCAAGGUGGGAAAAAAUGGAAACCGUAGACAGGAAAAAGAGUAUAACGCAUGACACUCCCC
rnacentral:lncRNA from 1 species